rnacentral:lncRNA from 1 species
UGAUCUCCACGAAACGCUGCGCCGCCGUUAUCAUCUAGUCUCGGGUUAUGUUUGGUUCAUUCUUCUAGAAAUGUAUUGCGUAUUUGCAAGCUAUGUUUUUUUUCCAGACGUGACGUGAGUACUCUCGGGAUAUGCCGCCUAUAUACGUGGCGGCUCCAUGGUGCAAGUGCAAGUGCAAGUACACUAUAUCUAUGUUUGUGCAUUGUCACAGUAUGUUUGUGAGAUCAGUUGUCAAACUUGGGUUGGCUUGAUUUGUUGUUGGAGUUGUCUGUAAUAGCUCAUGGUUUUUGCUAUGUACUAUAUCUUUAUUAUUUCUUUGAGGGGAGGAUCAUGGUAAAUUAUGGAUUUUUUAAGAUCUCAAGGCGUUAUACAGUGGUCAUCCAUGGACCAUUUUCCAUGCGAUUAUCAACGGUUCAUCACUGGUUUAUAAGGCCUUCAAUCUGAAAGUGUUCUGAACAUUGGCUUUAUUAGGAACAUUGUGCAAAAUUUUCUGAUUCAGCUUUGGCUUUCAGAUUCAGCUGCCUGACAAAUUUUUGAAAAACUUACAUGUUACGGACAAGAGCGAAAUGCAAACAUUUGAAUAGUAAGCCAAAAGCAGCAUUGGCUUUAUUUGGAAUGUGCAUUGGCAUAUUUGGACAGUAAGCCAAAAGCAGCAUUGGCUUAGGAAUGUGCAUUAGCUGACGCAUGUAAAUAAUUUGGUCUCUGGUUCAAAACUUGUAUAUAUUACAUGAAUGCUCCUUGGCAACAACUCUCCUUGGCAACUCAUUCUGACUAUGUGAUGUCAAACAAAAGAAAAAACUCAUUCUGACUGCAUUUAUCCAUUACAUAUUCUUCUACUAGGGGCUCAUCUUCAGACCCCUGAUGAAUCUGAGCACGAAAUACUCAUUCAGUUGGUUUUGAAACCCUAAUUUCAUCGACGCCGCCUAGUUCCGCGAAAGGAAAAUUCCCCUUAUUCUUGCAUGCUUUUCAAGGACCAGACCGGCGGCUACUUAGCUACUCCGUUUGAAAGCACCAGACAAGGCGUUGUACGCUUCGACGCUGCGCCUGAACUUAUCCUCUGCUUCAGCCUGAAAAAAUACACACUUUUGUUGAGAAUCAACACCCCUACACAGGUUCUAGCUCAGCAUUCGCACCCAGUGCGCCGGAGGUUGUUGCAAAGACAAGCCAAUACUGACCUGUGAAGAUCCUUGGUGCUUGUCCGGGUGCCACUUGAGAGCCGACGCGCGAAAACUGCAGAAACGUAGCACCAAGAAAGAAAAACCAAUCAGGAGCCCGCUUAUCAGAAUUGUUGCAAAUGCUAUGGAGAUGCUCGAAGACCUACGCGGACUUAAUAUGAUCAAGCUUUAAGGGGCCCAAAGCUGGCAAACCAAGGGAUAUUCUAUGGCUUUUCAGAUCGUCACGACGAGGAGCCUCUUCUUCUUCUACAUCGCUCUCGUUCCAAACUUUUUCCCUUGAUUUGUUCGGCCGAGGCUCCUCCCUCCAUUGGAACCCAUUAGGAAGGUCAUCAUCCUCCUCCUCACCGGGCCAGUACCACGUAAAAGAUGUCUUGCCGCCAAAGCUCCCGUAAGGGCUAUCGCUGGAAUCGUCGUCACCAAAGUUCCUCAAGUCUAUCCCACCUAUACAAAACGUCAUGGUGCACUUGUUAUCGUGCUCCAAAUAUACUGAAAAUGACCGUAAAGUAAAUGGUGUUUACGCAUUUAAAGGUAUAUAAGCUAUGGUCCAAAAAGAGUUAGAUACUGAACAUGCUAGGAAUAUUAAAUAGUAGUUCAUGUGCAUCAAAGUAAAUGCUAUGAUACUACAAAUUGAAGCUUAUAAGAGGAUGAACCUAGCAAGUCAAACACACCGCAGAAAAUCACAAUCUGGCUAAGAGUUGAAAAAUGAAUUCUCAGAAGAUACCAAUGGUCCAAUCUGUCACAGAAUACCAAUGGACACUUCAAGAGGUUUAGUGGCAGGCUCAUAUUUGCGCAUUUCCGCAUGCUUUUGGUAAUCAGAAGACACAGACCGGUCUUGAGUGAAAACAAGCAAUUGGAAGGUAAAGAAGGGUUCGAGGGUAAACUUACCUCUGCCUUUGCUAUACGGAUUACUUCCAGGACCGGAGCGGACUUUUGAUUUGCCACCAGAUUUCUGCUGCCUCGUUUGUUUAUUACUUCUUUCCUGUUGACAAUUUUCAGACCAGUUUCAAAGUCUAAUCCAUUACUAUUGUUUUUACAAGGAGGGCAAUGCUUUCAAAGAAAUUAAACAAAAGAAGCGACCACUUGGAGUUUUCUAGGCAUUGUCGCGCAUCAGGUUUUCCCAUUCGCUUGGUGAAACAAUGAACAACAUGUCACCAGUCACAGUUAAAGAGAACCUCAGAGUUUGGUAUAUAAGAUUUGAUGUUGUAAUGUUUUUAUAAUCUUCCCAGGUAGGUAAAUCAGUACGGCGCUCUCUUUCGCAUACAAGCUCAUAAACCAGGAAGCAAAAUAAAUUAAAAAAAUCAAAGGGAAUGGUUACGGAUACCUGGGAGGGACCGCCGUUAAGCAGAAUGUUCUUAAGAGCAUUCUUGGCGUCGGUGCGCUUCUCUCGGACGUUGAACCGGAUACGAGGCUGCGCAAGAACAAUUACAGAACCAUGGUCAAGCUCACAUCCCAAAUAGUUUUAUUGAAUACGCGCAUAUGCUACUGUACUUGGCAUUUGGCAAGACCUCAGGCAGUGCACUCAACUUUUCAGGGAAAAUAAAGGAUCCCCCAAUUUCAUUACGAAAUUGAGUUGGACCUGAAAUGCGCAGUGGACCUGAGAAAUGUGGAGCACAGCAGAGCUUCCAUUGCUGGAGCGUGCAAACUAAUCACCCUGCUAAGCUGACUGUGAUGAUGAUCCUGCGCAGUAAAUAUUCCUCUUUUACAGGCUAGCCAGCUCUGCUGGCCUAUCUAGCAAUCAUCCUAAUGGGAUUUCGAGAGCAAGAACUGAACUGGAUGCGUGGAUCCAACUGAUUCAUCAUCAUCAGACAAAAAGAAAGAGAGAGGAAGAGACGAAUGGGGAAAGUCAGGGUGUGCGCACCGUGGAUUUGGAGAGCGCCGCCGCGGUGGAGUGGAAGGAGGAGGCGGCGGCGGCCGCCGCCGCCGCCGCGCCCUUCCGCGCAGCUGCUUGCAUCCCGGGAGAAGAGGAGUGUGGGGGAUUUGGCGGCGGCGGCGGUGGGUCAGGGAAUGGGUAGAGUGAGCUGAGAGGAUCCCGUCGGCGUCGCCGGAGAUGGCCGGGAGAGGUAGAUCAAGGCAUCGGCGUGCUCUGCACUGAGGGGAUUGGUUCGGUUUUUUUUUUUCUGACGAGGCAUGGCGGAUUUGGUUCUGGGCGCUGGCCUUUCUAUCGCGUGGGCCUGGCCCAACUGCAUACGCUGCAUUCACACCACAUGCAAAAAAAAAAGUACCAAAACACAGCUAGAUACUUUUAACAUUUAAAAUGAUUGGCUCAUGGAGCUCUGGAAGGCUUCCCUCACGUUAGGGUUUUACUCCUCCCGGGGGCGAUUUUUCGCCGCCGUCGAGACCAUCGUCCCCAUCCUCUUAUUACCAAUCCAUCACUUGUCCCAAGGACGGGGGCGCGCUCCGCUGCGCCUUCUGAUCUCUUGGCUGUGAUGGGGCGAGGCAGAGGGGUAGGGUUCCUGUCAACAGCCCGAUCUAUCCAAAUCGGGUAAGGUUUCUGAAGAUGGCGUCGAACGAGGCUUCGGGAGCGGAUGCGGCUGAAGCAGAUGGGAUCGACGACGUGCAACUGAUGAUGAAAGAACUAGGUCUGCGUGAGGAAGACCUAGAUGAUGUGGUGUUUGAUGAGAAGGAGGCACCGGAGGAGGCGGCGCGUUGGAUAGCGCUUGCAAAGGUGAAUUCUAUCAAGACCUACUCUCAGUAUUGGUUCUUUCGGAACAUGAGAUCAACUUGGGAUCUGGCCCAGGAGGUGAUUUUCAAGCCACUUGAGGAGAAUCUAUAUACGGUGCAAUUCUCCUGUUUGGGCGAUUGGGAGAGGGUAACCCAGGAAGGACCUUCGCACUUCAGGGGAGACGCCGUAAUACUGAAGCCUUACGAUGGUUUGGCAAAAGCAUCGACUGUUCAGCUCGAUACAAUUGAGAUUUGGGCUCAAAUUCAUGAUUUACCUCCCCUAUACGCUCAUCUAGUUCCGUCUCUUGCUGCUAAGGUGGGAGAGGUCCUUUUUACUGAAGCACAAUCUCAGGAUUUUGCUGGAAAUUUCCAUCGGGUUUGGGUCCGGAUAAACGUCAUGAAGCCUUUGAAGAACGCAGUUUCCUUGAUCCGAGAUGGCAAACGCCAGAUUUACAGGGUGAGAUAUGAGAAACUCCCAGAUUGGUGCGCCGUGUGUGGCAUGUUGGGGCAUCUCUUCAAAGAGCACGGCAAUGGAAUCCAUCCUCCGACAGCUCUGGUUUUUAAGAACCUAAGGGCGUCGUGGACCAUGCGCACAGGGCAGGGGCCAGGAGGAGGACCGGGCAGAAGAGGAGGCCGAGGAGGCCGAGGGGGCGGAAGUCGAAGAGGCCCAGAACCAGCUCAUGGGGGUGACAUGUCAGUUGAUGGAGAUGACGUGAUGGCGGAGGCUGACAACAGGAAAAGGGCACCGGAGCAUGCUAUGGCUCAGUACAAUACGCCUACAAUCUCAUCUUCGGCACCAGCUAUCGCGAGGAACAACAUGCUAGCCCUCCCAUCACCGGCUGCUCCAGCAAGCCCAAGUACCAAGCAGGAGACCAAGAGAGCUAAAGUGGGAUCUGAAGUUGACAAGAUCUCGGGGAAGAAUGGACCACAGGGAAGGAUUGACACAACUUUGGCGGGCUCCGAAGAGGGGCGCCGCCGAGCCAAAUGGGUAUCUUUUGUUGGAACUGUCGCGGCGCGGGUAAAGCCGCUGCAGUUCGAGAACUUCGCGAAUUCGCGAGGAAGUUUACCCCUACCCUGUUAUGUAUAGUUGAAACUCAAAUUGAGGGAGCCAGGGUAGAAGCUAUGGCUAGUUCUAUUGGUUAUGAUAAUUCUUAUGCAGUUGAUAGUAAUGGAAGAAGUGGUGGAAUAGGCCUUUUUUGGAAUAAUUCAAUAAAGAUUGAAAUUCUCGGUUUCUCUGUGUACCACCUAGAUGUAUCUGUUGAGGAACAGGGGAGAGAUUUGUGGAGGCUAACCUGUGUAUAUGGUGAAGCCCGGACACACUUGCGCCAUCAAACCUGGACGAUUCUGAAAAAUAUCAGUACUUUGAGCAGCUUGCCCUGGUUAUGUAUGGGGGAUUUUAACGAAGUCUUACGUCCAGAAGAACACGAGGGAGUUGGGCAACGCAGCAAUGCCCAGAUCCAAGCGUUCCGAGAAACUACGGGUGUUUGCAUGUUGCUUGAUAUCGGCUACAAGGGCACAUUCUGGACUUUCGAGAAGAAGGUGACGGGUGGGACUUACACAAGAUGCAGACUAGAUAGAGCUUUGGUAAAUGCGUAGCAAGAUUCCCAUCAGCUACAUUAACACAUCUCACAGCGGUCUCAUCCGAUCACGCUCCGUUGCUACUGGAGUUUGAUAUUCGCCAAGAGCAAAGAACACAUAGUACUUUCAAGUAUGAAUUAAUGUGGGAAUCACAUGCGGGACUCAAGGAGAUGAUCAGAGAGGGCUAGGACCCGGGCGCUCCCUGCGUUUCGGUGGAGGAUAUGAGAGUAAAACUCCGGAAGUUAUAGCAAGAGCUAUACAGAUGGGGUAAGGACACUUUUGGCAGCGUCCGGAAAGAGAUCAAGCAUUUGAAACAGAUGUUGGAGGAACUCCGGAGCGACCCAAUGCGCACUGCCCCAUCACAUGUCGAGUUGAAAGUCAAUGAGAAACUAAUAGAGAUGUACCAUCGGGAGGAGAUCAUGUGGCGACAGAGAUCUAGAUUGGACUGGCUCUCUCAGGGAGACAAAAACACAAAAAUUUUCCACAUGAGGGCAAGUCUCAGGAGAAAAAAGAACAUGAUCAAAGCUUUACAGAACUCGUUAGGUGCCGAAAUAAAUGAUCCGGGAGAGCUGAAGGCUAUGGUGAAUGCUUUUUGCCAGAACCUUUAUGAGUCCGAGGGAACCCAGAAUAUGGAUGAGGUACUUGAUCAUGUGCCGCGGAAGGUUACAGAGGAAAUGAAUGCAUCACUUUGUGCGCCUUACACCACACAGGAAGUUAAAACUGCUCUGUUUCAGAUGUUUCCAACAAAGGCACCGGGUCCAGACGGUUUUCUGGCUCACUUUUAUCAGCGUCACUGGGACAUUUGUGGUGAAGAAGUUACACAGAUAGUUCUGCGGAUUGCCAGGGGGGAGGAGAGUGCCCAAUGCAUCAAUGAUACUAUUCUUGUUCUCAUUCCAAAGGUAACUAAUCCCACAAACCUGUCUCAGUAUAGGCCGAUCAGUCUAUGUAACGUGAUAUAUAAAAUUGCGUCUAAAGUGGUUGCAAAUAGACCGAAAGUUAUCUUGCCUGACAUCAUCUCGGAGAAGCAAUCUGCCUUUGUUCCAGGCAGACUAAUUACGGAUAAUAUCAUAGCCUCUUAUGAAUGUCUGCAUUUCAUGAAACGAUCCAGCUCAAGAGCUAACAGUUCAUGUGCUCUGAAACUAGAUAUGAUGAAAGCCUAUGAUAGGCUAGAGUGGUCCUACCUUAGGGCUAUAAUGGUUAAGCUUGGCUUCUCUCGGCAGUGGAUUGAUAUAGUUAUGGGCAUGAUUACUUCAGUCUCUUUCUCGGUGAUGUUUAAUGGAGAGAAACUUGAAGCUUUCAACCCUUCGAGAGGGAUCCGACAGGGAGACCCAAUAUCCCCUUACCUGUUCUUGAUCGCAGUAGAGGGCCUUUCGUGCCUCCUGAAAUUCAGUUCUCAGUCAUCAACCUUAUCAGGUAUUAAAGUGGCUCCUACGGCGCCUGCUAUUAAUCACCUUCUUUUUGCAGAUGACAGCCUGUUGCUUUUUAAGGCCAGUGUGGAGGGAGCAGUGGCGGUGUCUAACCUAUUGGACAAAUAUUGCAGCGCUUCGGGACAAAGAAUUAAUCAUGAUAAAUCAUCCAUUUUUUCAGCAAAGGAUGCCCUGGUCAGGUUAGAGAUGAUGUGAAAAACUCGUUACAAGUUCAUAAUGAGACUCUCAAUGAACGUUAUCUGGGGAUGCCCACUGAUGUUCCACUCUAAGAACGGGACUUUCAAAUACCUUCGUGAUCGUGUUUGGGAGAAGAUCAAGGGAUGGAUGGAAAAACUUUUAUCAGCAGCGGGGAAAGAGAUUUUGAUCAAAUCAGUGGCACAAGCUAUUCCUGUUUUUUCUAUGUCAUGCUUCAGGCUCCCUAGAGGUUUGUGUGAAAGCAUUACCUCGAUUAUAAGGCAGUUCUGGUGGGGAUCCAAGCAAGGAAAAAGGAAGCCAUGCUGGGUGUCAUGGGACAUUGUGACACGGCCAAAGCAUCUUGGAGGUUUGGGAUUCAGGGACUUGGAAAUAUUCAAUCUGGCACUCUUGGCAAGACAAGCUUGGCGUAUUCACACUAAUGAAUCAUCUUUGAGCGCUAGGAUUUUAAAGGCAGUUUACUUUCCGAAUUGCGACUUGUUGGAGGCAGAGUUGGGAUCUCACCCUUCUCAGAUUUGGCGUGCGAUUUUGGACGGCCGUGAAAUUAUGGCUCAAGGACUCAUCCGGAGGAUUGGGGACGGGACAAGUACAUCGAUUUGGACUCAGAACUGGAUUCCUCGUGCUCACUUUAAGCGACCAAUAACUUCGCUGGUUCCUGACCCCCCGUUAAUGGUGGCUCAGCUUAUAGAUAACACGACUGCCUCUUGGAAUGAGAAUCUGGUCAGGUCAGUGUUUACGGACUUUGAUGCAGAAGAGAUCAUUAAAAUACCGCUGUGCACUCGCACAACUCCAGAUUUCUGGGCUUGGCAUGAGGAGAGCAAGGGAGUUUUCACAGUCCGGUCUGCAUACCAAAUGAUUCUUCGCACAAAGCUUAGUAGGGAGGGCUGGAUCGAAGAGGAAGCUGGCACAUCAGGGAACGAGUCCGAGAGUAAUCAGUGGUCCUCCAUCUGGCAUAUCAAAGUUCCGUCAAAACUGCGGGUGUUUGUAUGGAGACUUGCGAGACAAUCCAUCCCAUGCAAUGUUCUGCUGCACCACCGCAACAUGGCUACAAAUGAGACUUGUGCUCUUUGUGGAGCGCAGGACACUUGGAGACACGCCCUCCUUUCUUGCCCUAUGGCAGGGAGUGUGUGGGUUCUAGCGCCGAAUCACAUUAUGGAGCAAAUGAGUAUGCACACGGAGGAGAGCGCAAAGGACUGGAUCUUUGCCUUACAUAAAAUCAUGUCCCAAGAUGACUUUGUGCGAGUGGUAGUAACACUAUGGGCAAUUUGGGGAGCGAGAAGGAAGGCCAUCCAUGAAAACAUUUUCCAGGCACCAGCGACACUUCAUGGUUUCAUCAACUCUUACAUCAUGGAGCUGAAACAGAUAGACACAAAAUCUUCACCUGCUGUUGCUCGCACUGCUACACAACGCAGGUCACCCUGGGUUCCGCCUGAGGCGGGUUUCUCGAAGUUCAACACUGACGCUGCUGUCUCGAGGCACGGAGUCGGGUCCAUUGGCGUCAUUGCUAGGGAUCAGGGAGGUACAUUCCUGGGUGCCUCAGCUUUAGUUUUCAGAUUUAUUUCAGAUCCAUCCACGCUUGAAGCCCUAGCUAUACGUGAGGCUCUGGCUUUGGCCAAUGAUCUAUAUACUCAGAAGAUUCAGGUGGCUUCUGACUGCAAAGUGGUGGUGGAGGACAUCCAGGAACCGAGCUUGGCUUGCUAUGGUGCAAUUAUUCGGGAGAUUAGAGACAUGUCUAGUUUUUUCACUUCUUGUAAUAUAGUUUAUGAAAGUAGGAGCUCAAAUUUUGAGGCUCACAAUUUAGCGAAGCAUGCACUUACCUUGGGAGGUGGCCGCCAUGUAUGGUUAGGCCAUCCCGGAAAUCUACAGUCCGUCCCUGUAAACAUUGUGACGAAUUAAUAAAGCUUCGCGGAAUUUUCUCAAAAAAAAAUGACAUGCAAAAAAAAAGAACACAUGCAAAGUCUUGAGUAAUUUGCUGUGGAGGAAAUCAUGUGGCGCCAGCGGGCUCGUAUCGAAUGGUUGACCGCAGGAGAUAAAAACACAAAGUUCUUUCAUGUGAGAGAGAGUCUGAGACGAAAAAAGAACUUGAUCAAAGCUCUACAAAAUUCCCUGGGUGCUAUAGUCGUAGACCCGGAUGAGAUGAAAAGCUUGGCAAAUGAGUUCUGUCAAACGCUCUAUACAACCGAAGGGGUUCAGGGCAUAGAUGAAGUACUUAAUCACGUGCCACGGAAAGUUUCGGAGGAGAUGAAUGCAAUGUUAAAUGCUGAAUAUACAAAGGAGGAGGUGAAAACAGCCCUAUUUCAAAUGUUCCCCACUAAAGCUCCGGGCCCGGAUGGUUACCCGGCGCACUUUUAUCAGCAUCAUUGGGACAUUUGUGGUGACGAUGUAACGAGGGUGGUGUUGAGCAUAGUAUGAGGAGAGCAAAGCCCAGAAAGUAUUAAUGACACAGUCUUGGUUCUGAUCCCAAAGGUUCUAAACCCCACCUUACUUUCUCAGUUCCGACCCAUCAGUCUGUGUAGUGUGAUCUACAAGAUUGCAUCCAAAGUGGUAGCCAACAGACUGAAAGUUGUUUUGCCUGACAUAAUCUCUGAGAAUCAGUCUGCUUUUGUGCCGGGAAGAUUAAUCACUGAUAAUAUCAUCUGUGCAUAUGAGUGCCUACAUUUCAUGAAGAAGUCCAAAUCCAAGACUAACAGCUAUUGUGCUCUCAAGCUGGACAUGAUGAAGGCAUACGAUAGACUGGAGUGGACAUAUCUGAAGGCCAUUAUGGGCAAAUUGGGCUUUUCUCGGCAGUGGAUUAACACAGUAAUGGGUAUGGUUUCUUCAGUAUCCUUUUCUGUUCUUUUUAAUGGUGAGAAGCUCGAGUCUUUCAGACCAACCAAAGGGAUCCGACAGGGAGACCCAAUCUCCCCCUACUUAUUCUUGAUUGCAGCAGAGGGCCUUUCGUGCCUCCUGAAAUCCAGUUCACAGUCAUCACUUGCAGGUAUUAAGGUGGCCCCAACAGCUCCAUCCGUAAACCACCUUUUGUUUGCAGAUGACAGCCUGCUGCUUUUUAAGGCUAGUGUAGAGGGGUCGGUUGCAGUGUCAAACCUAUUGGAGAUUUAUUGCAAUCCUUCAGGAUAUCGUAUAAAUAAUGAUAAAUCAUCAAUCUUCUUCAGCCCAGGUUGCCCACUUUCUUUGAGGACAGAGAUAAAAAACACAUUACAUGUCCAGAAUGAGUCCUUAAAUGAGCGUUAUCUUGGCAUGCCAACAGAUGUUGGCCAGUCCAAGAACGGUACUUUUAAAUAUCUUCGAUAUCGGGUGUGGGAGAAGAUCAAAGGAUGGAUGGAGAAGUUACUUUCUGCAGCAUGGAAAGAGGUCUUGAUCAAAUCAGUCGCUCAGGCCAUACAUGUAUAUUCUAUGUCUUGUUUCACGGGGUUUAUGUGAAAGUAUAACAUCAAUUAUCCAACAGUUUUGGUGGGGUAGCAAGGAAGGAAAGAGAAAACCUAGUUGGGUUGCUUGGGACACUAUGAUCCAACCGAAGCAUUUGGGAGGCCUAGGUUUCCGUGAUAUGGAAAUCUUUAACCUAGCGCUACUUGCUCGGCAAGCGUGGAGAGUCUUGACGGAAGAAUCCUCAUUCAGUGCUCAAAUACUAAAGGCAGUUUAUUUCCCACAAUGCAAUCUUUUGGCGGCAGAGUUGGGAUCACGUCCAUCACAGAUUUGGUGAGCAAUUUUAGAUGGGAGAGAUAUAAUAGCUCAAGGCCUAGUUCGAAGGAUUGGUGAUGGGGACACCACAUACAUAUGGAGGAAUAACUGGAUUCCACGAGAUAGUUUCAAGAGGCCAUUAGUGUCCUUGGUUCCUAACCCGCCAGAAAAGGUGGCAGAAUUGCUAGACAACACUUCGGUGCAGUGGAAGGAGGGCCUGAUCCGCACUGUGUUUACUCCUUUUGACGUAGAAAAGAUCUUGAAGAUACCAGUUUGCACUAGGAGGUUGCCGGACUUCUGGGCGUGGCAUGAAGAAAGCAGAGGGGUAUUUGUUGGAAAUAUGCCCAAGAGGCAAUAAUAAAAGGAUUAUUAUUAUAUUUCUAUGUUCAUGAUAAUUGUCUUUUAUUCAUGCUUUAAUUGUAUUAUCCGGAAAUCGUAAUACACAUGUGAAUACUUAGACCAAAACAUGUCCCUAGUGAGCCCUAGUUGACUAGCUCGUUGAUCAACACAUAGUCAUGGUUUCCUGACUAUGGACAUUGGAUGUUGUUGAUAACGGGAUCACAUCAUUAGGAGAAUGAUGUGAUAGACAAGACCCAAUCCUAUGCAUAGCACAAGAUCGUGUAGUUCGUUUUGCUAGAGCUUUUCCUAUGUCAAGUAUCUCUUCCUUAGACCAUGAGAUCGUGUAACUCCCGGAUACCGUAGGAGUGCUUUGGGUGUACCAAACGUCACAACGUAACUGGGUGACUAUAAAGGUGCACUACAGGUAUCUCCGAAAGUGUUUGUUGGGUUGACACGGAUCGAGACUGGCAUUUGUCACUCCGUAUAACGGAGAGGUAUCACUGGGCCCACUCGGUAGUGCAUCAUCAUAAUGAGCUCAAAGUGACCAAGUGUCUGGUCACGGGAUCAUGCAUUACGGUACGAGUAAAGUGACUUGCCGGCAACGAGAUUGAACGAGGUAUUGGGAUACCGACGAUCGAAUCUCGGGCAAGUAACAUACGGUCUGACAAAGGGAAUAGUAUACGGGGUUGCUUGAAUCCUCGACAUCGUGGUUCAUCCGAUGAGAUCAUCGAGGAGUAUGUGGGAGCCAACAUGGGUAUCCAAAUCCCGCUGUUGGUUAUUGACCGGAGAGCCGUCUCGGUCAUGUAUGCAUGUCUCCCGAACCCGUAGGGUCUACACACUUAAGGUUCGAUGACGCUAGGGUUGUAUGAAUAUGAGUAUGCAGCAAACCAAAAGUUGUUCGGAGUCCCGGAUGAGAUCCCGAAGGUCAUGAGGAGUUCCGGAAGGGUCCGGAGGUAAAGAAUUAUAUAUAGGAAGUGCUGUUUCGGCCAUCGGGAAAGUUUCAGGGUCCACCGGUAUUGUACCGGGACCACCGGAAGGGUCCCGGGGGUCCACCGGGUGGGGCCACCUAUCCCGGAGGUCCCCGUGGGAUGAAGUGGGGAGGGAACCAGCCCCUGGUGGGCUGGUGCGCCCCCCACUUGGGCCCCCCUGCGCCUAGGGUUGGAAACCCUAGGGUGGGGGGGGCGCACCACUUGCCUUGGGGGGCACUCCACCCCCCUGGCCGCCGCCCCCUUGGGAGAUUCCCAUCUCCAGGGCCGGCGCCCCCCAGGGGGCCUAUAUAAAGGAGGGGGGGGGAGGGCAGCCGCACCCUAAGUCUUGGCGCCUCUCUCCCCCUGCUACACCUCUUCCUCCUCCCGCAGUUGCUUGGCGAAGCCCUGCUGGAGCCCUGCUGCAUCCACCACCAUGCCGUCGUGCUACUAGAUCUUCAUCAACCUCUCCUUCCCCCUUGCUGGAUCAAUACGGAGGAGACGUCACGCUGACCGUACGUGUGUUGAACGGGGAGGUGCCGUCCGUUCGGCACUAGGAUCUCCGGUGAUUUGGAUCACGACGAGAACGACUCCCUCAACCCCGUUCUCUUUAACGCUUUCGCACGUGAUCUACAAGGGUAUGUAGAUGCAUCUCUCUCUCUCUCUCUCUCUCUCUCUCAUUGCUAGAUGAACUCAUAGAUGGAUCUUGGUGAACGUAGGAAAAUUUUAUUUUAUGCAACGUUCCCCAACAGUGGCAUCAUGAGCCAGGUUUAUGCGUAGUUCUCUAUUGCACGAGUAGAACACAAAUGUGUUGUGGGCGUAGAUCUUGUCAACUUGCUUGCCACUACUAGUCUUUUCUUGCUUCAGCGGUAUUGUGGGAUGAAGCGGCCCGGACCGACCUUACACGUAAGCUUACGUGAGACAGGUUCCACCGACUGACAUGCACUAGUUGCAUAAGGUGGCUAGCGGGUGUCUGUCUCUCCUACUUUAGUUGGAGCGGAUUCGAUGAAAAGGGUCCUUAUGAAGGGUAAAUAGAAGUUGACAAAAUCACGUUGUGGUUAUUCGUAGGUAAGAAAACGUUCUUGCUAGAACCCAAUUGCAGCCACGUAAAAGAUGCAACAACAAUUAGAGGACGUCUAACUUGUUUUUGCAGCAAUUGUCAUGUGAUGUGAUAUGGCCAGAAGUUGUGAUGAAUGAUGAAUGAAAUAUUGUGAUGUAUGAGAUCAUGUUCAUGUAAUAGGAAUCACGACUUGCAUGUCGAUGAGUAUGACAACCGGCAGGAGCCAUAGGAGUUGUCUUAAUUAUUGUAUGACCUGCGUGUCAAUGAUUUAACGCCAUGUAAUUACUUCACUUUAUUGCUAAACCGUUAGCUAUAGUAGUAGAAGUAAUAGUUGGCGAGCAACUUCAUGGAGGCAUGAUGAUGGAGAUCAUGAUGAUGGAGAUCAUGGUGUCAUGCCGGUGACGAAGAUGAUCAUGGAUCCCCGAAGAUGGAGAUCGAAGGAGCUAAAUGAUAUUGGCCAUAUCAUGUCACUACUUUAUAUAUUUGCAUGUGAUGUUUAUUAUGUUUUAUGCAUCUUGUUUACUUAGAACGGCGGUAGUAAAUAAGAUGAUCCCUUAUAAUAAUUUCAAGAAAGUGGUCCCCCUAACUGUGCACCGUUGCUAAAGUUCGUCGUUUCGAAGCACCACGUGAUGAUCGGGUGUGAUAGAUCCUUAUGUUCACAUACAACGGGUGUAAGACAGUUUUACACAUGCAAAACACUUAGGGUUAACUUGACGAGCCUAGCAUGUACAGACAUGGCCUCGAAACACAAGAGACCGAAAGGUCGAAAAUGAGUCAUAUGGAAGAUACGAUCAACAUGGAGAUGUUCACCGAUGAUGACUAGUCCGUCUCACGUGAUGAUCGGACACGGCCUAGUCGACUCGGAUCGUGUAACACUUAGAUGAUUAGAGGGAUGUCAAUUUGAGUGGGAGUUCAUUAAAUAAUUUGAUUAGAUGAACUUAAUUAUCAUGAACUUAGUCUAAAAUCUUUGCAAAAUAUGUCUUGUAGAUCAAAUGGCCAACGCUCAUGUCAACAUGAACUUCAACGCGUUCCUAGAGAAAACCAAGCUGAAAGAUGAUGGCAGCAACUAUUCGUACUGGGUCCGGAACCUGAGGAUCAUCCUCAUAGCAGCCAAAAAAGCAUAUGUCCUAGAAGGACCGCUAGGUGAAGCACCCAUCCCAGAGAACCAAGACGUUAUGAACGCUUGGCAGUCACGUGCUAAUGAUUACUCCCUCGUUUAGUGUGGCAUGCUUUACAACUUAGAACCGGGGCUUCAAAAGUGUUUUGAGCAACACGGAGCAUAUGAGAUGUUCGAGGAGCUAAAAAUGGUUUUUCAAGCUCAUGCCCGGGUCGAGAGAUAUGAAGUCUCCGACAAGUUCUAUAGUUGUAAGAUGGAGGAAAAUAGUUCUGUCAGUGAGCACAUACUCAAAAUGUCUGGGUUGCACAAUCGCCUGUCCCAGCUGGACAUUAACCUCCCGGACGAGGCGGUCAUUGACAGAAUCCUUCAGUCGCUCCCACCGAGCUACAAGAGCUUUGUGAUGAACUACAAUAUGCAGGGGAUGGUGAAGACCAUUCCUGAAGUAUUUUCAAUGCUGAAGUCAGCAGAGGUUGAAAUCAAGAAAGAACAUCAAGUGUUGAUGGUCAAUAAAACCACUAAGUUCAAGAAGGGCAAGGGUAAGAAUAACUUCAAGAAGGACGGCAAAGAUGUUGCCGCGCCUGGUAAGCCAGUUGCCGGGAAGAAGUCAAAGAAUGGACCCAAGCCUGAGACUGAGUGCUUUUAUUGCAAAGGGAAGGGUCACUGGAAGCGGAACUGCCCCAAAUACUUAGCGGACAAGAAGGCCGACAAUACUAAAGGUAUAUGUGAUAUACAUGUAAUUGAUGUGUACCUUACCAGUACUCGUAGUAACUCCUGGGUAUUUGAUACCGGUGUCGUUGCUCAUAUUUGUAACUCACAGCAGGAGCUGCGGAAUAAGCGGAGACUGGCGAAGGACGAGGUGACGAUGCGCGUCAGGAAUGGUUCCAAGGUCGAUGUGAUCGCCGUCGGCACGCUACCUCUAUAUUUACCUACGGGAUUAGUUUUAAACCUCAAUAAUUGUUAUUUAGUGCCAAGUUUGAGCAUGAACAUUGUAUCUGGAUCUCGUUUAAUAUGAGAUGGCUACUCAUUUAAAUCCGAGAAUAAUGGUUGUUCUAUUUAUAUGAGAGAUAUGUUUUAUGGUCAUGCCCCGAUGGCCAAUGGUUUAUUCUUAAUGAAUCUCGAGCGUAAUAUUACACAUAUUCAUAGUGUGAAUACCAAAAGAUGUAAAGUUGGUAACGAUAGUCCCACAUACUUGUGGCACUGCCGCCUUGGUCACAUUGGUGUCAAGCGCAUGAAGAAGCUCCAUGCUGAUGGACUUUUAGAGUCUCUCGAUUAUGAAUCAUUUGACACAUGCGAACCAUGCCUCAUGGGCAAAAUGACCAAGACUCCGUUCUCCGGAACAAUGGAGCGAGCAACCAACUUAUUGGAAAUCAUACAUACUGAUGUGUGUGGUCCAAUGAGCGUUGAGGCUCACGGAGGAUAUCGUUAUGUUCUCACUCUCACUGAUGACUUAAGUAGAUAUGGGUAUGUCUACUUGAUGAAACAAAAGUCUGAGACCUUUGAAAAGUUCAAGGAAUUUCAGAAUGAGGUAGAGAAUCAACGUGACCGAAAGAUAAAGUUCUUACAAUCAGAUCGCGCAGGAGAAUAUUUAAGUCACGAAUUUGGUACGCACUUAAGGAAAUGUGAAAUUUUUUCACAACUCACGCCGCCUGGAACACCUCAGCGUUAUGGUGUGUCCGAAUGUCGUAAUCGCACACUAUUGGAUAUGGUGCGAUCUAUGAUGUCUCUUAUCGAUUUACCGCUAUCAUUUUGGGGAUACGCUCUAGAGACAGCUACAUUCACUUUAAAUAGGGCACCGUCUAAAUCCAUUGAGACGACACCGUAUGAAUUAUGGUUUGGGAAGAAACCUAAGCUGUCAUUUCUAAAAGUUUGGGGAUGCGAUGCUUAUGUCAAGAAACUUCAACCUGAAAAGCUCGAACCCAAGUCGGAAAAAUGCGUCUUCAUAGGAUACCCUAAGGAAACCAUUGGGUAUACCUUCUACCUUAGAUCCGAAGGAAAGAUCUUUGUUGCCAAGAACGGAUCCUUUCUGGAAAAAGAGUUUCUCUCGAAAGGAGUAAGUGGGAGGAAAGUAGAACUCGAUGAAGUACUACCUCUUGAACCGGAAAGCAGUGCAGCUCAGGAAAAUGUUCCUGUGGUGCCUACACCGACUGGAGAGGAAAUUAAUGAUGAUGAUCAAGGUACUUCGGAUCAAGUUGCUACUAAACUUCGUAGGUCCACAAGGACACGUUCCACACCAGAGUGGUAUGGCAACCCUAUCCUGGAAAUCAUGUUGUUAGACAACGGUGAACCUUCGAACUAUGAAGAAGCGAUGGCGGGCCUAGAUUCCAACAAAUGGCUAGAAGCCAUGCAGUCCGAGAUGGAAUCCAUGUAUGAAAACAAAGUAUGGACUUUGACUGACUUGCCCGAUGAUCGGCGAGCGAUAGAAAACAAAUGGAUCUUUAAGAAGAAGACGAACGCGGAUGGUAAUGUUACCAUCUAUAAAACUCGACUUGUCGCUAAGGGUUAUCAGCAAGUUCAAGGGGUUGACUACGAUGAGACUUUCUCUCCUGUAGCGAAGCUUAAGUCCGUCCGAAUCAUGUUAGCAAUUGCCGCAUACUAUGAUUAUGAGAUAUGGCAGAUGGACGUCAAAACGGCAUUCCUUAACGGUUAUCUUAAGGAAGAGCUGUAUAUGAUGCAGCCGGAAGGUUUUGUCGAUCCUAAGAAUGCUAACAAGGUAUGCAAGCUCCAGAGAUCCAUUUAUGGGCUGGUGCAAGCAUCUCGGAGUUGGAACAUUCGUUUUGAUGAGAUGAUCAAAGCGUUUGGGUUUAUGCAGACUUAUGGAGAAGCCUGCGUUUACAAGAAAGUGAGUGGGAGCUCUGUAGAAUUUCUCAUAUUAUAUGUAGAUGACAUACUUUUGAUGGGAAAUGAUAUAGAAUUCUUGGACAGCAUUAAGGCCUACUUGAAUAAGUGUUUUUCAAUGAAGGACCUUGGAGAAGCUGCUUACAUAUUAGGCAUCAAAAUCUAUAGGGAUAGAUCGAGAUGCCUCAUAGGUCUUUCACAAAGCACAUACCUUGAUAAGAUUUUGAAGAAGUUCAAAAUGGAUCAGUCCAAGAAAGGGUUCUUGCCUGUAUUGCAGGGUGUGAGAUUGAGCUCGGCUCAAUGCCCGACCAUGGCAAAAGAUAAAGAAGAGAUGAGUGUCAUCCCCUAUGCCUCAGCCAUAGGAUCUAUUAUGUAUGCCAUGCUGUGUACCAGACCAGAUGUAAACCUUUCUGUAAGUUUGGUAGGUAGGUACCAAAGUAAUCCCGGCAAGGAACACUGGACAGCGGUCAAGAAUAUCCUAAAGUACCUGAAAAGGACAAAGGACAUGUUUCUCGUUUAUGGAGGUGACGAAGAGCUCGUCGUAAAGGGUUACAUCGACGCUAGCUUCGACACAGAUCUGGAUGACUCUAAGUCACGGACCGGAUACGUGUAUAUGUUGAAUCGUGGAGUAGUGAGCUGGUGCAGUUGCAAGUAGAGCGUCGUGGCGGGAUCUACAUGUGAAGCGGAGUACAUGGCAGCCUCGGAGGCAGCACAUGAAGCAAUAUGGAUGAAGGAGUUCAUCACCGACCUAGGAGUCAUAUCCAAUGCGUCGGGGCCAAUCACUCUCUUCUGUGACAACACUGGAGCUAUUGCCCUUGCCAAGGAGCCCAGGUUUCACAAGAAGACCAGGCACAUCAAGCGUCGUUUCAACUCCAUCCGUGAAAAUGUUCAAGAUGGAGACAUAGAUAUUUGCAAAGUACACAAGGAUCUGAAUGUCGCAGAUCCAUUGACUAAACCUCUUCCGCGAGCAAAACAUGAUCAACACCAGAACUCUAUGAGUGUUCGAUACAUCACAAUGUAACUAGAUUGUUGACUCUAGUGCAAGUGGGAGACUGUUGGAAAUAUGCCCUAGAGGCAAUAAUAAAAGGAUUAUUAUUAUAUUUCUAUGUUCACGAUAAUUGUCUUUUAUUCAUGCUUUAAUUGUAUUAUCCGGAAACCGUAAUACACGUGUGAAUACUUAGACCAAAACAUGUCCCUAGUGAGCCUCUAGUUGACUAGCUCGUUGAUCAACAGAUAGUCAUGGUUUCCUGAUUAUGGACAUUGGAUGUUGUUGAUAACGGGAUCACAUCAUUAGGAGAAUGAUGUGAUGGACAAGACCCAAUCCUAAGCAUAGCACAAGAUCAUGUAGUUCGUUUUGCUAGAGCUUUUCCUAUGUCAAGUAUCUCUUCCUUAGACCAUGAGAUCGUGUAACUCCCGGAUACCGUAGGAGUGCUUUGGGUGUACCAAACGUCACAACGUAAUUGGGUGACUAUAAAGGUGCACUACAGGUAUCUCCGAAAGUGUCUGUUGGGUUGACACGGAUCGAGACUGGGAUUUGUCACUCCGUAUAACGGAGAGGUAUCACUGGGCCCACUCGGUAGUGCAUCAUCAUAAUGAGCUCAAAGUGACCAAGUGUCUGGUCACGGGAUCAUGCAUUACAGUACGAGUAAAGUGACUUGCCGGCAACGAGAUUGAACGAGGUAUUGGAUACCGACGAUCGAAUCUCGGGCAAGUAACAUACCGUCUGACAAAGGGAAUAGUAUACGGGGUUGCUUGAAUCCUCGACAUCGUGGUUCAUCCGAUGAGAUCAUCGAGGAGUAUGUGGGAGCCAACAUGGGUAUCCAAAUCCCGCUGUUGGUUAUUGACCGGAGAGCCGUCUCGGUCAUGUCUGCAUGUCUCCCGAACCCGUAGGGUCUACACACUUAAGGUUCGGUGACGCUAGGGUUGUAUGAAUAUGAGUAUGCAGCAAACCGAAAGUUGUUCGGAGUCCCGGAUGAGAACCCAGAUGUCACUAGGAGUUCCGGAAGGGUCCGGAGGUAAAGAAUUAUAUAUAGGAAGUGCUGUUUCGGCCAUCGGGAAAGUUUCGGGGUCCACCGGUAUUGUACCGGGACCACCGGAAGGGUCCCGGGGGUCCAUCGGGUGGGGCCACCUAUCCCGGAGGGCCCCGUGGGCUGAAGUGGGGAGGGAACCAGCCCCUGGUGGGCUGGUGCGCCCCCACUUGGCCCCCCUGCACCUAGGGUUGGAAACCCUAGGGUGGGGGGGGGGGUGCACCACUUGCCUUGGGGGCACUCCACCCCCCUGGCCGCCGCCCCCUUGGGAGAUUCCCAUCUCCAGGGCCGGCGCCCCCCAGGGGGCCUAUAUAAAGGAGGGGAGGAGGGAGGGCAGCCACACCCUGAGUCUUGGCGCCUCCCUCCCCCUGCUACACCUCUUCCUCCUCCCGCAGUUGCUUGGCGAAGCCCUGCCGGAGCCCUGCUGCAUCCACCACCACGCCGUCAUGCUGCUGGAUCUUCAUCAACCUCUCCUUCCCCCUUGCUGGAUCAAGACGGAGGAGACGUCACGCUGACCGUACGUGUGUUGAACGCGGAGGUGCCGUCCGUUCGGCGCUAGGAUCUCCGGUGAUUUGGAUCACGACUAGAACGACUCCCUCAACCCCGUUCUCUUGAACGCUUCCGCACGUGAUCUACAAGGGUAUGUAGAUGCAUCUCUCUCUCUCGUUGCUAGAUGAACUCAUAGAUGGAUCUUGGUGAACGUAGGAAAAUUUUAUUUUAUGUAACGUUCCCCAACAGUAUUUACUGUUCGCUCGGCUUAUCAGAUGAUCUUGAGAACGAGGACGAGCAGGGAGAGCUGGUGGCACGACAGCGAGGGCUCGUCCACAGGGCAGGAUGACAAGGUAUGGAGCACUUUGUGGCACAUCCGGGUUCCUUCCAAACUUCGCAUGUUUCUUUGGCGUCUAGCCAGACAUUCUAUGCCUAGUGGUGAGGUUUUGCAUCAUCGUCAUAUGGCUGACACCGACUAAUGUCCGCUGUGUGGAGCGAGGGAUACAUGGAGGCAUGCCCUCCUGACCUGCUCAUUGUCAAGGAGUGUUUGGGCCUUGGCACCCGAGGAUUUGGUCGAGAAGCUCAUUGAACACCAGCAGGAGAGUGCUAAAGAUUGGCUGUUUGCUUUGCAUGAGAACCUGGACGAGAAAGAUUUCAUCCGGGUGGUGGUGACGGCUUGGGCAAUAUGGGGAGCCAGAAGAAAGGCUACUCACGCGGAUAUAUUCAAGUCUCCGCAUGCAACUGAUGCAUUCAUACGGAGCUAUAUUUUAGAGUUGGAUUAUAUAAACAGGAGAAGCCAAAACCAUAGUGGACAGCGACCGGUCCGAUCUUCGUCUUGGCAGCCACCGGUACUGGGAAGUGCAAAAAUUAAUGUUGAUGGAGCAGUAUCGAGAAGGGGGAGGCACGGGACAGCAGCAGCGAUUUGUAGGGACCAGAAUGGUCUCUUUCUGGGAGCAUCGCGAUGGUAUUCAAUCACAUCACAAACCCCGCUACACUUGAAGUGUUGGCUCUAAGGCAAGCUCUGGCACUAGCUGAUGAUCUUUAUAUUCGGCGUGCUCAUAUUGCCUCGGAUUGCAAGGUGGUAGUCGAUGACAUAAAACGUGACAGCCGCGCUUCUUAUGGAGCGGUUUUGAAGGAGGUGUUAGAUAGAUCGUCCUCUUAUAUUUCUUGUGUUAUAAUUCAUGAAUUUAGGAGCUCAAACUUUGAAGCUCACAACCUAGCGAAACAUUCUCUUACUCUUGGAUUGGGCCGCCAUGUUUGGUUAGGCCAUACAGGAGAUCUUCCCUUCGUCCCUGUAAACAUUGUGACGGGUUAAUAAAGUUUCGUGAGGUUGUCUAAAAAAAAGUUUGUUGUGCAAUAGUCAACCCAUAUCGACAUCAGCUUGGCUACCAUAGAUUGUCUCAAAGCACCUUCGGUGCAAAUGCCAGAAGCAUUCACCCUACCUUCAGUUGGAAAGGUGCACAAAUAACAACGGUAACCAUCUAGGAAAAGAGCACCAUUUUUCAUAACACGAUUCUCCUUGAAGAGUUGGUGCUGCUGUUGAUACUUCUGUGACUCCUGCUGCUGAUGCGGAGGAUGAUUAUGCGGGAGAUUACGAGGAUGAGGUUGAUCAAAAUCAGAACUACGUGCAACCACCAGCACCACAACCACCAGGUCGUCCACAUGCAAACAAUCACAAUGGUAGGGCUCUCCCUCAGGUACGAGAUCGUGACCAUCUUCCUAAACUAAAAUUGAAUAUUCCACAAUUUGAAGGUAGAUAUGUUCCUGAUAUAUAUCUUACUUGAGAGUUAGAAACUGAACAACGAUUUACAUGUUUAUAAUAUCCUGAGGAGAGACGUGUUCAUGCUGCUGUUUGUGCUUUCACUAGCUUUGCAUGUGUUUGGUGGUCUGAACAUUGUAGAUUAUAUCCCAUUUCAGCUACUUGGGCUAAUUUAAAAACUGCUAUGCGUACUCGUUGGGUUUCACCAUAUUAUCAACGUGAAUUAAUUAAAAAAUUACAACGUUUAAGACAAGAAAAAAAAUCCACUUUUUGAUAUUCACAUGUAUCAUCCACCAUAUCUGUUUCAUAUCAUCCCAUAUGACAUAAAAUACUGAAUAUGAUAAAGUUCCUAAUCUUUUAGAUACUCCAUAAUGUACAUGCACAAACAGAAUUAAUAACAGCAUGAUUUUUAUUAGUAGGCCAAUAUCUGGCUAUAGAAAGGAAUCUUUACCUACUUCCAAAUUAAAGAAAUUGGAGAUGGAUUUUCAGAUAAGCUUAGCUACCACACAACCAAAAAAAAGUGAUCCGUAGUUCCAUGCUCAUAACAGAAAAACACUAAGUUUUUUUUUCUCAAUUCCUUUUUGCUAAGAUUGUCUUUUUCAUAAGUUUGCUAUGAGGUAGAAGCCACAAAAACACCUGCACUCGAGGAGGAACUAUUACAGACUACCUAAUGACCAAUUGUUUGCAAGAAAUAUCCAUGAUUAUUUCAUCAUACAGUAAAAAUAGCAAUGAAGACAACAACUAAUGAAUAAUGACCAAGGGUCUUUUCAGAACAUCUUGCGUCCACACGAAUCAUCACCCACUAACCAAGGGCCUAAAGCCGCUCGCUGAUUUUUUUUCCUACUAGUUCUGCAGCACAAUUUAGUUCAAACAUACAUUAUGUUCAAAUCCAUCAAAAUCCCAGGGGAAAUGCAAAACAUUUGAGUGCAUAUGGUGGGAAAAAAAAGCAGCUUGACGGGUCCUUGUGCUCGGCGGCGGCGAUGGGCGCUACCGGCUUCGCCUUGCUCGUCAUCCUGCUUAGUAAACCUGAUGAGAGCAAGAAGGUUGACCAUGUUCAACAAAUUUUCUUUUGUAGUGAGGAAAAUAAUAAUAGGUAUGCUUGUCAUUUAGAGGUCCACAACAACACUCUCUAUUCACUUACAUUUUUGAAAGUUUAUUUUUUCUUUCCACGGUACAUGUUUUUGUAUGAAACAAUAUCAUGGCUAGUUCUUUGUUGACUUUUAGAGUAAACUAGAAUAAACAACCUACUGAUUAAGACUUGACUAGUAAGCUUAAAAAAAUAUAUUCUCACUUGGGCUUCUAGAAUAAACUGGUAGGGGGCAAUUUAUUUUUGUCGAUUUCGGCCUCAAGCAUAUUUUGAUCAUAACUUGUCCCAUCAUUUUUCUUUGUCCUUGCAUUAAUUUCUCCCUUGUCGUGAGGCGGCGAAGUAACAAUUCAACGGCGAUUCGGCAUACUUGUUUCGGCUUGUUCGGUACUCUUUCAUGGUUAAGUCUCAGCCGGUUGAGAUUUAGCAAUCCAUUUGUAUGUAAUAAAAGAAGGACGUUGAUAAGUGUCAUACGUGUAGGUGUUAGGAAGUCCGCUCACACAUUUUGUAUGGUGUAUAAAAGGAACAGCCCACAUACCUACCGAUCUUUUUGUGUGGUGUACAGAAGUAAUGCCCACACAUCUUUUUUUCCCUCCCGAUCCCUCUCACACGCGUGCGUGUGUGCGAAGUUGAUAACGUCACACGCCCGUAUGUCAGGCCUUGUACUCUCCUGGUCCCGCACGCCAUGCGUGACGGUCACCGCGCGUCCGCAGUUGCCAUGGUCCAGACCCUCGUCCAUGUUCGUUUAACUGAAAUUGCCAUGUCGCUGAACUACGGUUGCCAUGUCGGACAACUACAGUUGCCAUGGUUGCUCAACUGCAGUUGCCAUGUAUGGUAUGAUCUAACGUAAUUGCCAUGAUUUCAUAAAUUUAGGAGUUGCCACAUACUAACACUAAGCAAUUGAGAGAGUUGCCAUGUGCUCACAAACAUGCUAGGGCAGUUGCCAUGUAAAAAGAAAGAGUUGACAUCUGCUUACGUGCACGUUUGGGCAGUUGCCAUGUACCAUGCAAAAACACAUGACAACUCGGUAAAAUAGAGUUGUCAUCUGCUUACGUGCAUACUAGGCUGUCGUGGACCCUGCAAAAACACAUGGCAACUCGGAUGAAAAAGAGAGUUGCCACCUGCUUAUAAAGCACACUAAGGGCAGUUGUCAUGUGCGCUGCAAAACACAUGGUAACUAGCAGCUUGGGUGUGGGAGAGGAGACGGGCGUGUGGGCGAGAUGACAAAUGCCCAGACACUAGCCCUUAUGUGUGCGUGCAAAAGUAGCGUGUGGCGCAAACUGCUGAACGCCCACACAUCAGCCCCUCCUCCACACACCAGCCCCUCCUGUGUGGUGAAACGGCCGUGUGGGCGACCGGAUGAACGCCCGUACACCAGGUCAGUCCUACAUGGCACUAAAAACAUGUUAAGAUUCAUGCGUUUACGAACGAACGCGGAUCCACGCGUACGAACGAGAUGCAAACGCCCACCCGCAUGGGCGUUAACAUUUCCGUAAAAGAAUACUCCCUCCGCCUGCCGAUUCAGGCGGCGCGUCGAUGGUGGAUGGGUGGAUCACCAUGGCCAUGCAUGCCGCGACGUGCGGGCGGAGGUGCUCUCCACUCCCCCGCCACCACCACCACCACCCCGCCAAGCACUCCUCUCCCUCCCUCCCCCCCUCCACCACCUCUCGCCCGCGACGAGGACGCACGGACUCUUCUCCUCCACAACGCUCGCCGAGGAAUCCACCACCGCCCCCCCGCGAGUGACCGCCACCACCGCGCGCGCGCCGGCGUCUCAGAUCGGACCCGUCGCGUCGUCCGGCUCUCCCAGGUAACGAUCCGAUGCCAGGUUUCUCUCCGGCCAGCCAGCCGCGGGCUCGUCGCUCGGUAGGCUGCGUGCGUGCAUUGCUGGGUUGGCUGGGUGCACGGCCGGAGCCGGCAGGUUCCUCGGGUCACAAGGCCACUCUGGCCCUGCCGGCAUUGAUUGCACCUGCGGCGUUCCUCCUGAUACACUCCUACAUCAACAUCGUGCCUGGCAUUGGUUACCCCAACCAAUGGCAUGGCCGUCUCCCUUCGACGCCCCUUACCUGUUCGACGGAAUUCCCGACCCGCAUCCGCCGCUUGAAAGGCCGUGUGAUCCAGCACGGUUUUCAUCUCGUCGCGUCCCGGAUGCUCCGCUGCCUUUUCUUGUCUGGGUUCGCGCUAGUAGUUCAAGCUAUCAAGUCUGGGAGGAGGAGGAGGAGGAGCUGCAUUUUGGCUUUUUAUGUUUCUCACAAAUGAGUCUCCAUGGCCUUCAUUGCGCAACUGUUGAAAUUUCUGCCAAAAAUGCUGCUCUGGAGAAACACAAAAUCCAGUGUUGUUGCGAAAGCUAUCUCGUAGGCAACUAGGUCCCCCCCCUGUAGGCCUUCACAGCAUUGGCUUAAUCUGGUCAAAACAGCCAAUGCGAAACAACCAGGAUAGUUUUUUAGUGGGCUUACUCUGAACCAGGAAAAGAAGGAACUUCUUUUUUUCUCUACUUCCACGCAUCGCUGUUUUCCUAGCAUAUAAUUGUCCUCAUCGCAUUUCUUAGGCUGAACAUAUCCGCUGCUGCCCUGCAUUAGUCUACGACAUCUCUAUUGUUUGAACAAAAGAUUCACCAUGCUUAAUAAUGCUCCAGGGUGCCCUGCAAUGGAUGCGCCAAAGGAUGCAUCUCCGUCGCCGAAACUGCACACGAGGCUGAGGGUGUGGGAGUUUGCAGACCGUUAUGUGUUUGAACCGGUUGAUGGCCUUGCCGACCUCUUCCUCUCAAUAAGCCGGACCAAUGGGUCUAUGAACCUAGUGCAGGAGCUGCCACCGCGCGGCCCCUCGGCAAAUCCAAAAGUUAGGAUAGUGUUUGGUGUGGUAGGAGUGCUCAAACUUGCAGUUGGAUCAUGCUGUCUGGUCAUCACUGACCGCGAUUGCGUCGGCUCCUACAUGGGGCAUGCUGUUUUCAAAGUUACAGGACUAAAAUUUCUGCCCUGCACUACCGCUUCUUUGGCCGAGCAGGUCUGGCAAUUUUUAAUCUGUUCCCAGUUAUGCUGUUUCCAUAUGUGUAUGUCAUGUAAUCGUCGUAGAAUGAUUGGUGUUACCAGAAAAAGAUGGAGAGCGAAUUUUCAGACCUCCUGGAUGCUGCAGAGAGGAGUAUAGGCCUGUACUUCUCCUAUGAGGCCAACUUGACACUUACGUGGGUAUCGCAUAUGAUUCCUUUUUUGUUACAUGCAUUUUGUCGUUUAAUGGUACAUGGAGUUUCAAAGAAAACAUGUAAUUGGCCUAGCAAAAUGGAUAGUAAAUUUUCUCCCAGUUAAACUAUAUACCAGAAUCAAUCAAUGUAGGCAUCCUAUGGUCUUAUUUUAAUUCAGUUCUCUUGUCAUUGCAAGUCUGAAUGACACUUACCUUUAUCCCUUCUGUUGCAGUUUACAGAGGCUAUAUGAUCUCGGGGACACGUUCAAAGCACUUCCACUUUGGAAACAGGUUUGUUGCCUUUUACUCAUGUAAUGCUGGAGCUUGUUACACAUGGGACGGCCAAUCCUUUUCCCAUUAUGGAGAGUAAUCUACUACUACCUCAGUCUCAAAAUGUAAGACAUUUUUGUAGGCUUAGCCUACAAAAGCAUCUUAUAUUUUGAGAUGGAGGUAGUACAUGUGAUGCUAGGUAGGGAUUUCGACGUUCUCCUUGUUGCAUCUUUGGUCAGUAAGUUACACUUAUGCUGUAUAGAAAAUUCAUUGUUUUAAUGUCUACAGAAAAGUUUGAAUGACUGAACAAACUAAUCACCAUAAACGUAAACUAUAAUACAAAUUUGCACCAAAACAACAUGAACUGUAAUUGUGGCAUGAAACUAUGGCUGGCUUUACACUUAGGCUUCGGUAUAUGAUGUUUCUUUUGAUGGUAUAUGUCUAAAGUGUGUGCUCGUAGUAGUAGUACAGAGCCGAUUUUUCCGAAUGGUUUCCUUUACUAAAUGUUCCUUUCAACAUGUGAAUACAAACUCUUCUACACAGAUCAAUUUACUACAUUCUUUGCAGGCAGAACGUAGAUUUAUGUGGAAUGGUUACUUGUUGGAGCCUCUCAUUGAGAACAAAGUAAGAUUACUUUUUGUUUUGUUUUUGUAAUUUCCAGUUUUAAGAAUAUCAGAUCCAAUAUUUGUAAAGUAUUCUGAUUCCCUUUUUUUCUUCCUUGACAGCUGGACCAAUACUUAUUACCGGUCAUUCAAGGAAGUAUCCUUUGCUCAUUGAUAUACUCCAGCGCACUACCCAAAAUUAUCAUACCAUGCUCACAAUCUCCAACACACGAGUUUGACUAUGAUUUUUUACUUAUAAUACCUACAAAAUUAGUAAAAUGGCAUAUGACGUAAAAGUAUUUCGCAAGACAAAUACAAGAUUGAAUGCUCAAUCCAUGUACUUCCGCAUAUAUAUUAGUGGUCAAAGUUUUAAAACCUUGACCACAUGUAUACUUGUGUGCCUUAGAAUUGUGUGCCUUACCAUAUGUCCAAUAUAAUUGAAAGGUGGGGCCAGUCAAAGGGGGCUGGCUGUGUUGAUCAGGGAAAAAACUGAUGUUGUGGCAAACAUAAAAUAGCCAACAGAAUAGUGGCAUUCGUGUAAUUUCCAAACAAAAACGACUGCAUAAGCUGAAUUGGGUUUGAGAAUAGUGGCAUUGGUCAAAAUUUCCCAUUUUAUUUGUUAAUUGGUGGGUAAAGAUAAGAGAAUUUGACUGUACGCUUUUUAGGACGUCAUCUAUUUUGAAAACAGAUGGAGUAUUGCUAGUUUAGACUUAAAUUACCAAUUCGAUUAGGAUUAGUUAUAUCAAUUUGAGUUGCUGUAACUUAACUAAAUGUCAGGCUUUCAGAAUAUACAUGCAGAAGUUGGAUCAGAUAAAGUAGUAGUAACCAUGAUUGCACGCAGGUGCACAAGAAGGAUAGGUGAGAGUUCUGAAGCAUUAAAAUAAGUUUGAUAAUGAGUUCUUUUCACUAUUUUUGAGUUAAACUAAUUUCUGUAUUUAACCAAUUUGUACUUGGCCUUCCGUUUUUAGAAAUUGAAUACCUUUUGGUUAAUUAAAAAAGUAAGCGGAUGUUGUUAACUGAAGGUACACGCUGUUGGAGACGGGGUGCUGAUCCAGAGGGCUAUGCAGCAAAUUUUGUUGAAUCAGAGCAGAUAAUGCAAACAAAAGGAUAUACAGCAUCCUAUGUACAAGUAGGUUUCUAAAUAAACAAUAUGAAAAAUCACUGGCUAGACUAAUAGUUGAUUAAAUGUUUUUGAUUUCUCUUCUCUUUUGGUCUUUUGGUUUCCUUUCUUUUAGUCUGUGUGCUAAAAGUCCUUAAGUGGUACAAUGAUCUUCACCAUGUUCAGAUGGUACCGUGUUAUUUUUAUGUUUUUGGAUAACUCGAUGAAACUACUAUAUAUUGCAGGUUCGAGGUUCUAUGCCUUUUUUGUGGGAGCAGAUAGUUGAUUUGACAUAUAAACCUAGUUUUGACAUUGUUAGAGUGGAGGAGGCGGUGAGCUCUGUCAAUUCUAUCUUUAUUCUAUUUUCCUUCCCUUCAGGGCAUUGAUAUUAUUCUAAUAAAAAUUGUUGAUUUUUGCACUAUAAUGCAGCCUUGGCGUAACCAUUUUUUUCAUCCUAAUUUGUGUUGCAUCUCUGUUAUGCAGGCUCGUGUGCUUGAGCGACACUAUCAUGAUUUACAAAAGAAAUAUGGAGCUGUGGUGGGUAUUGAUCUUGUCAAUACAGUAAGUAAUGAACUCUUGGACUCACUAAGUGCUAGAAUUUUUUGGGUGGUGGUCCAGCAUAAGGGUGUCUGUUUUACAGUAGCAGAUUCAGAACUCCUCAUUUAGGAAUAAUCUCGCAUAUUUGUUUGGCACAUCACCAUUGUAUCUUUGGUUGUGCAUAUUUCACUCCUUCCAAUGGAACUGGUAAUUCCGUUCAGCUUGUGCCCUAUGAAUGAUCUUGCUAUUUUUUUUGGCGAAAACUUUGUUUCCAGAUUUGCCUUUCAUAUUUAUAUUUCAGUGUAUGGGUGUUUGUUGGCCUAAUAGUAGCUUACUCUGUUUUCCAUGUGCAUUUACUCGUUUUUCUUACUCCUAUAUUCAGACUGGUGGUGAAGGCCGCCUCUAUGAAAGAUAUGCAAAAUCGAUUGAGCCUAUUCUCAGUGAAGAUAUAAGGUGCCAUUUCCCACAAUUUGGAUUUCCCCCUAUUGUGGUUGUCUGUUCCUAAUUGGGCUACGUUGUCUACUUACUGCAGAUUCAUACAUUUCGACUUCCAUAAGAUAUGUGGUCAUAUUCAUUUUGAGCGCCUUUCACAGUUGUAUGAUCAAAUUGAAGAUUAUCUUAAGAAGCAUAAGUACGUUCCUCAGAGAUAAGAAAUGAAGUUUUACACGUUUUACUGCUUGAUGUUAAUUUUCUUCGACUACACCUGCUCCUGUUGUUUGUUUCUAGUUUUUACAGUUGUUUAACCUGGAUUUCUUUGCCUUGCUACUAAAGUGCUAUAUUUGAUCAAUGUAUUUGACACGAAAGCAAUACUAAUGAUGAUGAGCGUACUAUGUUCUUUAUUUUUCUUAAUUGCUUCCAUCUCCAUGGUAUUACUAAUGUUACGGUAUAGGUACUUCCUUUUGGAUGAUCAAGGCAAGAAAAUGGCGGGGCAGACUGGCACUGUCAGAACAAAUUGUGUCGAUUGCUUAGAUCGUACCAAUGUAACUCAGGUACAAACUCUAGUACAACGCGGUCAUGUUUUUUUUUCUUCUUUAACGAAAUCUCUCUGUUGUGCCAUCAUUUAUUACCUUUCAUCUUGACCUGCAUUUUUUUUUUGAGAAAACGAUCCGACUUUUUUCAUUAAAUAAACAAAUUACAUCACAUCAGCAUUUCUUAAAGCCUUAGACAGAUCAAUAAAGAUUGCAUUUUCUCUGAUCUUCAAUCUUGAUCUGCAUACUGAACAUUGACAACAUAACAGAGCAUGGUUGGAAGAAAAACUCUCGAAAGCCAGCUCCAACAACUAGGUGUUCUUGGUGGUAACGAUACAAUCAGCAAUCACCCAGCUUUUGAUGCAGAUUACAAAGUUUGUAAGUAUUAUGUUUGAUAUUCUGUAACCAUGGUUCCUACUUAUAUUUCCCCUGUAUUUGUCUUUGAGCAAUGUUGCUGGAACCAUUUGCAGUGUGGGCAAAUCAUGGAGAUGCAAUAAGCACUCAGUACUCUGGUACUCCUGCUCUGAAGGGAGACUUUGUCCGGUAAUCUCUAUAAAGUGAAUGCAUCACUCGGUUGGUUUUUCAAGUGUUUGUAAUAAAAUUGUUAGCAUCCUUAUAACCUCCUCUUUCAUUUGCCCAAAUUGGUUUACUAGUAAUUCUGGCCACCUUGAGUCACAACUGAGCUGCUAUUUUUAUUUGAUUCGUGGUUUUAAGAUGCUGUAACAUCUGCUGCAGUAAAUCUCUUCUCCUGUUUCACCUCCAGAAUUUCUGCUGUCAAACAUAACUGGAAAAAAAUGACCUGUAAAACUGAAAAGAUCACAUAAUUUGGAAAGUAAUACCGAUGACCUAGACAUUGUAUUAUCUUUUUCUUUUGCACUCUUUUGUAGUCUUUCAGCUUUACGUUCAUAUAUCUAUUUUUCAUCAUUCGAUCUUCCAAGGAAAUGACUAAUGUCUAUUUUCAUUAUUUUGUACUCUUAAGUUGUCCAUAUUUACAAAUUUGGUUUUGUCUAUUAGGUAUGGGAAACGGACUACUCAGGGAAUUCUAAAUGAUCUGUGGAAUGCACUUGCUAGAUACUACUUUAACAACUUUGCAGAUGGUACUAAGCAGGUAUUUAUGCUGUCUUAGCAUGCAUGCAACUUAAGUGAAUAGAAAAAUAAGUUCACAACGUGGCGGCUUUGUGUUGGAGUUCAUUGCCGAUGGUUGAAGCAAGUGAGGACAGAUUUUAGAUCUGAUAAAGAAUAAUGUAUAAGCCUUUGAUCAGCUAAAAUUACAAAGUAUUGUACCAUUAUUAUAUGUCUAUAAUAAAGGUAUAUAUAUAGAGGCUAGCUAAUGGUAAAUCAAGUAGCUAUAUCCAUAGUUGAGUUAAAAUGUGAGAAAUAAUCAUAUUUUUAUACUUGUAAAAAAUAAUUUGUAUUAUAACAUUGAAAAAUAUGCAUUACAAAUCAGGCAGGUGGAUCGAUCUGUGACCUGCAUCUUACAGCCCUUCUCAGAUAGAGGUUUGUUUUGGUUGUGUUGUUUCUAGGAUGCCAUGGACCUUCUUCAGGGACAUUACGUAUCAUCAGUUAGUCGGGACGCCGCGGUUCCAAGCAGACCCGGAGUUAUGCAGGUGGGUAUUAGCUGAUUCAGUGGCCAAUACUUCUUUGUGUAUGACAUUGCAAGUUUGCAGUGAUUGGUUCUAACAUUUGCACUGAAUGUUGUCUUACUUGCGCGUUUUCUCCUUUGCAGUCCUUCCGUGCUGCUUUUGCAUUGAUUUUUUGCGCUGCUAUGUUCAUGCUUAUGUCUCUACGACAAGGUAAAGUUUCUGGCUUCUGAAUCUGACACAUUUUAUGGAAUUGACAAUGAUUACGAAAAUCCCACAAACCAAAGCAGACCUAUAUGGAGAAGUUUAAUUCAGUCUUUGUCAUCCUUGGUGUAUUCAGCCAGAAGUUGUGCUUUAUUGACAUGUAACUUGAUUAUGUCGCCUUUGUGGAACCAUGACUUGCAGCCCGGAAUGAUCUUCGCCACUUGGUGGUAGCACUUGUGUGGGCCGGUCUGUGCGUUGGCAUUGCACUAUAUGUCAAAAGGAACGGUAGGAAGUUCUGCAACCGGCCUCGUUUUUACCUGUCACGCAAUUGACCGAUGCGCGAAGGUACCUUUGCAUGUAUGCCAAGUGAUCACGGUAGCUUGUCGCAAGCUCCUAGCAGCAUUUUCUAUUGUGUGAAGAUUUAUUCUUAGCAUUUUUUUUCUGUAGGGCGCUUGCCCUCCCCAAUUUUGUAUCAAGGUCUAUUCUAGCACCCCCCCCCCCUCCCAAUUUUGUAUCGGGUUUAACCCCCACCUUCCUGCAGUUUUGUUAAAUUCUGUCCCUGUCUCACUAUGACACGGUUUGUUUAGUUUGACAUAAUUGUAAGUCCCAUUGUGAUACGAUAGCAAUGAAUUGAUGCACAUGCACUAGUAUUUGAAAUAUCUAGCUCCAGCCAUUAUUAUUCGUCAUAUACUUCCUUCCCACAGAAGGAAUUGAUUUUAAUCAAUUAAGGCCUUUCUAUUUCCCAUGUAACCUUUAAUAUUUCCAAUGGUAGAAUGGAUGUUAAUUAUUACCAAAUAACUUUUUUUUCUUUUCUUUUGCAACAAUUGUCAUUUCUGGACAUCAUGGCCGGAAAUGAAUUUUGUAGAGUUUGUCUGGUCCUUCCAGUUUCUCUUGCUGCAAAGAACAAAGCUGACAGUGGGGUUUAGUUUUUCUUUUCUUUUUGGUAACAAACCACUAUUCCGCAGAAGAUUUACACCAAUUUCUACCGUUGUAUAUUCAGCGUAACAGGUGAGUAGGAAUCGAGAUUUCUCAUAUAUUAUUCCGAAAGUCUGAAAAUACCGGAGAAAAUACAGUAGGAUCUGCAUCUUCUGAUAAAAAUCUAAAAUUUGAACAAUCAAUCAAGCCAGGUUCACUGCUGCAAUUUGCAUGUUAGAUGUGAGAGCAGCUAGUGCCAUGACCACAACAUAUAUAUCUCAAACAUUUUCCAAAUUGCCAAUAUGUACAAUAAGUGAAGUGAUAAGGUUUCAACCCAUGCAUGCAUAGGCUCCGAAAAUCUGCAGAAUAAUGUCUAACUUCAAAAAGAAAAAGAAAAAAAAGGGUACCUGUGGUUUCUUUUACUCAUUUUUUCCGACAUGGUGCGAUGCCACGCUUGGCGCCUUAAGAUGAAAGAGAAACUUGUCAACACCGAAAAUUCUUCACUCCACCACACAAAGGGAGACAAAACCCCUCCUUAUGUCCAUACAAUCACUGCAUUGCCAUUACCAAACACACACUAGUUAGGAGAGAACUCCGAGUUAUAAGGCUCCCUAUGCAAUACUAUUCUAAAUAUAGACCAUCCGAUCCAUUUCUAGAAUAGAAGAGCAUAUAGUACCGCCGAAGCAUAUGACUUCGUAUCAUACACACACUGUCAUAUGUUGUCGAUUGUACAAGUUGAAUAUCGCAACAUUUCCACUACCAAAGAGGCAACAUAGACAUAUAUGAAUAGGGUAUACAAGUGCCAAAAUCCAAAUUAUUAUACCAAGAGACCACUUGAUCCAACAUCAUCACAACGGAAGUCUCAAAUAGUCUGGGUACAGACAAAACUCAAUGGCACCUAAGAGGCGGAAACAUAAAGCAAUAGUCCCAUCCGAUUGGUUUCAGGCUGCCGGCCAGGUCUUGCUAGUCUACUCAUCGUUGUCGGGGUACUCCAAGUAGAAAUGCCAUGUCUCAGCAUCUCAGGUAUAGUUGUGACCUGCACAUGUUGUUGUCGUGGCAAGGGUGAGCACUUUGGGUACUCAACAAGUCUCACAAUCAAAGGUACUUGAACUAAAGAUACUUAUAGGCAUGGUAGAGGUGAAGUGGUGAAUCUGCAGCAAGCGACUAAGCAAUAUAGUACACUUACAUUUUUUGGAUUUAAGAUGAGAAAGCAUACAUGAAGGGGAUCGCAAGCUAAUCGUAUAUUCACCUGCCUACACAUUCAUAACACUACCUUGUCCUCCCCUUGGGAUUAACCCCCUCGAAGAAGAGGCAAUUAAGGCACGCACACCUUGGCAAAUUUUAGUUAAGUUGGUGGUGACACAUAAGUAGUGCAACUCAAGACUUUCAGAUCUGUUGGUGCCUCUGGUUCUGAAAACAACAUAUAGUCCGAUAAGGACUAUUGAUCCAAGAAAUCUGCAAUAUGUUAUUAUGCAUAUGAUGACACAACUUUUCUCCCCCAAAAUCCCUCUAAUGGUUUAUAAGUGAAUUUGAUUAAUGAAUUUUAUUUAAUACUGUCAACUUUUGUUUCCUAAUUCAUCAAAACUAUGUUAUUCAAAAAUUAUGGAACGAUAUUUAUUGAAUUGUUAAGUGAUUCUAUUAAUGACUUAAAUUUAUCAUUACUUACUAUCUAAUUUUUGAUUAAUUCAACUUUUAAAUUUAAGUUGACCAAAAUUAAUGGUACUAUUUUUUAUUAAAUCCAUAGAAUUAUUUUAAAAACGAUACUAAUUUUUACAUGAUUUUUAAAAUAAUUUAAGUAUAUGAACUUUAUCCAUUUAUUUAAUUUAUGUUUUAAUAAAACCAAACAGACUGUGGACUGUUUUAGCCCAUCUAGCCCAUUUGGGCUUGGUCCGAAAGGCCCAUCAGAGGCAGUCUACCAGCCGAGCCCUCUGUCUCUCACACCCAUAGUUUAAAAAAUGGAACCGGCUAUCGAAUCGGUGAGACUGUUAGUUUAAGCUUUUACUGAUCAGACCGCCGGUUCAUCGGUUUAUUUGUGACAAAAUAUCGAAAUAUUUAAGGUAAUUUUGCAAAAUUUUCACCACAAAUCAAUUUAAUACUCAUAAUAUUGGAUGUAAGCAUUAAUAAAUCACAAAGUGUUGUUAGCCUAUUGGUUAUUGGGCCUUCGUGUGCCUUACCUCAAGGUUAGAUGUUCAAUUCCUUGUUUAUGCACCUUUUUUAUUUUAAUAUUUUUUCUUUUGUCUUACUAAAAGACUGAUCUAUACAUCUAUAUCUACUAAUAAAAAAAAUAGUUAUUCAUAGUCCGCCAUGCUAUUUUAUAGAAACCCCCUGAUUUUUCUAACAUUAAACCCACAGUAGCUAUCAAAUGUUUUGUGAAAUACUCAUAUCUUUUAAACCGUAACUCCAAAUUUAACAUGUUAUAUAUGAAUUCUGAUUAAAAAAAAUACUAUCUAGGGACAUGCAUGACAAAAAACAAAAGAAGGACCCAAUAAAAAUGGGAUGUCUNNNNNNNNNNNNNNNNNNNNNNNNNNNNNNNNNNNNNNNNNNNNNNNNNNNNNNNNNNNNNNNNNNNNNNNNNNNNNNNNNNNNNNNNNNNNNNNNNNNNNNNNNNNNNNNNNNNNNNNNNNNNNNNNNNNNNNNNNNNNNNNNNNNNNNNNNNNNNNNNNNNNNNNNNNNNNNNNNNNNNNNNNNNNNNNNNNNNNNNNNNNNNNNNNNNNNNNNNNNNNNNNNNNNNNNNNNNNNNNNNNNNNNNNNNNNNNNNNNNNNNNNNNNNNNNNNNNNNNNNNNNNNNNNNNNNNNNNNNNNNNNNNNNNNNNNNNNNNNNNNNNNNNNNNNNNNNNUUUACGUACAAAUAUGUACGUAUUUCACAAAUAUAACAAAAACUAUGGGUUCAUAUGCAAUUUUUUCAUUUAACUUGCUUUGAAAUAUCUUAGAUAUAGUAUAUGAAUAUAUUUAAAAUGAUAAAGUAGUAUAUAUAGUACCACAUGGUAGUAUAUAAGACAUAUCGGGUAACUACCACCGGGUGGUAGGAUGAAUUUUCCAUAUAUAUAUAUAUAUACAUAUAUAUAUAUACUAAUAAAAAAAGGUAUUCUUAGUCCGUCAUGCUAUUUUAUAGAAAACCCCCUAUUUUUUCUAACAAUAAACCCGCAAUAGAUAUGAAAUGUUUUAAAAAAAUACUCAUAUCUUCUAAACCCUAACUCUAAAUUUAACAUGUUAUAUAUGAAUUUUGAUUAGAAAAAUAUGUAGAAUCUGAAUAUGAUGUUAUUUUACCUAUUAAAAAUUAAAAAUACACUAUUUAGGGAUAUGCAUGACAAGAAAUAAAAUAAAAUACAGAGGAGAUCCAAUAAAAAUGAGAUGUUGCACUAUUCUCCUAUAUAUAAGAAGAAGAAAGAGAGGACAUGCAUGGCAAAAAGUAAAAAGGAGGCAUGCACGACAAAAAUAAAAUAAAAGACAUGUUUGACAAGAUAUAAAAAAUGAUGAAGCAUGAACCAAUACCUAUAACAUGUAUAACAAGAAAUAGUGAUGAAAUAUGAAUGCAAGUACGUGCGCUCACAGGAGACCAUACAAAAAUGUUCUUUUCCAAACAAAAAAAAUCUCACUUUAUGUUUAAAAACUCAUGUAUCUUUUUAACAACUCUUCAUGUAUUUAAGAAAUAUGCAUGUGAAAAAAAUUGUUCGAGAGUUACCCUAAGUUGGUGAUGCUUAAACUAAACCCUCUUGAUGCACACAUGUCUCCGUAGUGUGCUAAUGUGUCAACGUCUGUUUUUAUUGUUUUUCUUUACCAGCCCGUAACAAUACCCCAUUCCACACAUGAUAUGAAUAAACGCAUGAUCACUUGCCCGUUUCUUUGCACGGCUUAAAUCUAUAUGCAAGUCGUGUUGAAAUAAAAUACAUGUGGAAUCUUGAACUGCGCUUUUGUAGGCUAUAAGACCAUCUUUGUUUGGGCCGUAGCUACAAAUUAUCAGAUUAUAGACAUUUUUUGUAAAUUAAGAGCGUGUGGUAUUUUUUUCUCCUGUUGCAACGCACGGGCCUUUUUGCUAGUACACCUUAAAAAAGGCAAGGUGCCGUUUCUGGUUUUUCUGGUCAGACCGGCGGUCCGGUCCCUGGCAAAAUGAACCGGCCCAGGGUUAAACGGCCCAGGCACAGCUAGUACACGGGCCGUCCCGGAACGGCACGCGUGCUAGCAUCCCAGCCUAGGCACGACACACCUGCCUCAUGGGCCGGCACGCUGGCUGAUACUUCUCCAACGUAUCUAUAAUUUAUGAAGCAUUCAUGUUAUUUUAUUAUCUGUUUUGGACGAUAAUGGGCUUUAUUAUACACUUUUAUAUUACUUUUGAGACUAACCUACUAACCGGAGGCCCAACCCAUAUUGUUGUUUUUUGGCCUAUUUCAGUGUUUCGAAGAAAAGGAAUAUCAAACGGAGUCCAAACGGAAUGAAACCUUCAGGAGCGUGAUUUUUCGGAAGAAUACGAUCCGGGAGACUUGGAGUUCACGUCAGAAGAGCCUCGAGGAGGCCAGGAGAUAGGAGAGCGCCCCCCACUAGGCGCGCCCCUGUCUCCUGGGCCCCUCGAGCACCCCCCGACCAACUUCUUUCACCUAUAUAAUCCCAUAUACCCUAAAAACAUCGAUAACGAAGAUAGAUCGGGAGUUCCGCCGCCGCAAGCCUCUGUAGCCACCAAAAGUCAAUCGGGACCCUGUUCCGGCACCCUGCCGGAGGGGGGUUCCCUCACUGGUGGCCAUCAUCUUCAUCAUCCCGACGCUCUCCAUGACGAGGAGGGAGUAGUUCACCCUCGGGGCUGAGUGUAUGUACCAGUAGCUAUGUGUUUGAUCUCUCUCUCUCUCGUGUUCUCUCUAUGGCACGAUCUUGAUGUAUCGUGAGCUUUGCUAUUAUAGUUGGAUCUUCUGAUGUUUCUCCCCCUCUACUCUCUUGUAAUGGAUUGAGUUUUCCCUUUGAAGUUAUCUUGUUGGAUUGAGUCUUUAAUGAUUUGAGAACACUUGAUGUAUGUCUUGCCGUGUUUAUCUGUGGUGACAAUGGGAUAUUCACGUGAUCCACUUGAUGUAUGUUUUGGUGAUCAACUUGCGGGUUCCGCCCAUGAACCUAUGCAUAAGGGUUGGCACACAUUUUCGUCUUGACUCUCCGGUAGAAACUUUGGGGCACUCUUUGAAGUACUUUGUGUUGGUUGAAUAGAUGAAUCUGAGAUUGUGUGAUGCAUAUCGUAUAAUCAUGCCCACGGAUACUUGAGGUGGCAAUGGAGUAUCUAGGUGACAUUAGGGUUUUGGUUGAUUUGUGUCUUAAGGUGUUAUUCUAGUAUGAACUCUUGAAUAGAUUGAUCCGAAAGAAUAGAUUGAUCACGGUAGCCCGUCGCAAGCCUCUUGCAACAUCUUCUAUUGUGCGAAGACUUAUUCCUAGCAUUUUUUUUCUUUUCUGUAGGGCACUUGCCCUCCCCAAUUUUGUAUCAAGGUCUAUUCUAGCACCCCCCCCCUCCCAAUUUUGUAUCGGGUUUAACCCCCACCUUCCUGCAGUUUUGUUAAAUUCUGUCCCUGUCUCACUAUGACACGGUUUGUUUAGUUUGACAUAAUUGUAAGUCCCAUUGUGAUACGAUAGCAAUGAAUUGAUGCACAUGCACUAGUAUUUGAAAUAUCUAGCUCCAGCCAUUAUUAUUCGUCAUAUACUUCCUUCCCACAGAAGGAAUUGAUUUUAAUCAAUUAAGGCCUUUCUAUUUCCCUGUAACCUUUAAUAUUUCCAAUGGUAGAAUGGAUGUUAAUUAUUACCAAAUAACUUUUUUUCUUUUCUUUUGCAACAAUUGUCAUUUCUGGACAUCAUGGCCGGAAAUGAAUUUUGUAGAGUUUGUCUGGUCCUUCCAGUUUCUCUUGCUGCAAAGAACAAAGCUGACAGUGGGGUUUAGUUUUUCUUUUCUUUUUGGUAACAAACCACUAUUCCGCAGAAGAUUUACACCAAUUUCUACCGUUGUAUAUUCAGCGUAACAGGUGAGUAGGAAUCGAGAUUUCUCAUAUAUUAUUCCGAAAGUCUGAAAAUACCGGAGAAAAUACAGUAGGAUCUGCAUCUUCUGAUAAAAAUCUAAAAUUUGAUCAAUCAAUCAAGCCAGGUUCACUGCCGCAAUUUGCAUCUUAGUUGUGAGAGCAGCUAGUGCCAUGACCACGACAUAUAUGUCGAAUAUUUUCCAACUUGCCAACAUGUACGAUAAGUGAAGUGAUAAAGUUUCAACCCAUGCAUGCAUAUGCUCCAAAAAUCUGUAGAAUAAUGUCUAACUUCAAAAAGAAAAAGAGAAAAGGGUACCUGUGGUUUCUUUUACUCAUUUUUCUCUCGAAGUGGUGUGAUGGCACGGUUGGCGCCUUAAGAUAAAAAAGGAACUUGCCAACACCGAAAAUUCUUCACUCCACCACACAAAGGGAGACAAUACCCCGAGUUAUAAGGCUGUACCCCUCCUCUCAAAGACCUGCUAGUUAGAAGAGAACUCCGAGUUAUAAGGCUCCAUAUGCCGUACUAUUCUAAAUAUAGACCAUCCGAUCCAUUUCUAGAAUAGAAGAGCAUAUAGUACCGCUGAAACAUAUGACUUCGUAUCAUGCACACACCGUCAUAUGUUGGACUGUACAAGUUGAAUAUCACAACAUUUCCACUACCAAAGAGGCAACAUAUAUAUAAUCCCUCUUAUUGUUUAUAAGUGAAUUUGAUUUAAUACUGAUUAUUGUCAACUUUUGUUUCCCAAUUAUCAAAACUAUGUUAUUCAAAAAUCAUGGAACCAUUUUAUUGAAUUAUUAAGUGAUUCUAUUAAUGACUUAAAGUUAUCAUUACUUACUAUCUAAUUUUUGAUUAAUUGAAAAUUUUAAAUUUAAGUUGCCCAAAAUUAAUGCUACCAUUUUUUAUUAAAUCCAGAGAAUUAUUUAAAAAUGAUACUCAUUUUUAUAUGAUUUUUGAAACAUUUUAAGUAUUUGAAGUUUAUCCAUUUAUUUAAUUUAUGUUUUAAUUUAUGUUUUAAUAAAACCAAACAGACCGUGGACUGUUUUGGCCAUCUUGCCCAUUUGGGCUUGGUCCAAAAGGCCCAUCAGAGGCAGUCUACCAGCCGACCCCUCCUCUCUCUCUCUCUCUCUCUCUCUCUCUCUCUCUCUCUUUCUCAGACACCCAUAGUUUAAAAAUAUGGAAUCGGCUAUUGAAUCGGUGAGACUGUCGGUUCAAGUUAUUUACUGGUCAGACCGCCGCUUCAUCGGUUCAUUUGCGACAAAAAAACGUAAUAUUUAAGGUAUUUUUUUCUCCAAAAUUUGGACCUCAAAUCAAAUUAGUACUCAUAAUACUGGAUGUAAACCAUUAAUAAAUCAUAAAGUGUUGUUACCCUAUUGGUUAUUGGGCCUUUAGUGUGCCUUACCUCCAGGUUAGAUCUUUGAUUCCUUAUUUAUGCACCUUUUAUUAAAUAUUUUUUCUUUUUUUACUAAAAUACCGGUACACCUUAAAAAAAAUAGGCAAGGCGCCUUCCCCGGUUUUUUCGGUCAGACCCACGAUCUGGUCCAAAUCUGGCCAAAUGGGCGGCCUGGCCGAGGGUCGGCCUUGCCGACACGACCCAACCAGGGUUAAACGGGCCAAGCACUACCACUACUAGAAAAAGGGGUAUAGAUGAAAUGAACACUAAUGACGCACCAGACAUGUGGUGCGCCACUACUAUAUACUAAUGACGCAUCAUGUGUUGGUGCGUCAUUAGUGUCCAAAUACUAAUGGCGCACCACAUCCAUGGUGCGCCAUUAGUAAUAAUUUUUUUUAUUUUUUUCAAAACUAAUAAUAGCGUACCAGGCGAUAGUGCGCCAUUACUAGUUAAACUAGUAAUGGCGCACCACAUCCACGAUGCGCCAUUAGUAAAAAAAAUUUCAAAAUUUUUUCAUUUUUUUUCAAAACUACUAAUGGCGCACCAGGCCAUAGUGCGCCAUUACUAGUUAACUAGUAAUGGCGUACCACAUCCACGAGUGCGCCACUAGUAAAUUUUUUUUUCAAUUUUUUUUUCAAAACUAGUACUGGCGCACCGUGGGUGUGGUGGGCCAUUACUCGCCAUUACUACCUUGGCCCAAAAAUUCCCCCGAAUGCACCCCCGUGGACCGCCUUUUCAGUUUUUAAAAAAUAAAAGAAAAUGAUGAAAAUGUCAAAAAAAAUAAAAGAAAAUAAGUUUCCCAUGUGAUAUGUGGUCUAGUUGUUGAAAAAAUUUACAAAUAUGAAUUUCAACUUUAUUUGCAAAAUCUCUCUGAAAUUUGUAAAAUAGGCAUAACUUUUGCAUACGAACUCGGAUUAAAAAGUUUUUAUAUGAAAAAUCAUCUAUUCAAAAAGUUACAUCCAAAUUUAAUUGGGGAAACUCUGUUAAACAUUUUCAAAAUCCUCAAAAACCUAACAGAAAAAAAGUUACGGGGCUUUCAAGAUCUAGAUGCAAAGAAAUUCAAAAAAUUUCAAACUUACUAGUGGCGCACCUAGCAAACGAUAAUAUGAAUGGAAGUUUGAAAUAAUUUUUCAAAAUUUCAUCACACUCAUGAACAUGAACAAAGUCCUAAACAUCAACAAGAUUUAAUAGGAUUGAUAUGCUAGAUAUAUCAACAAGUGCAUGUGAAGUGAGCUGGUGCUGGGGUUGGAUAGAACUCUGAAGUUAAGCGUGCUGUGACCUGACCACGGAGUGUGAUUUGACUUGAGAUUAAGCAUAUUGACCCGAGAUUAAGCCAUAGUGACCCGAGAUUAAGAAAAAAAAUUUAAAUUUUUUUAUUUUUUUUGAAAAAAAAUUGUUACUGAUGGCGCACUCCUAUGUGGUGCGUCAUUACUAAGUGAGAUAGUAAUAGCGCACCUCUAGGCAUCCUAAUGGCGUACUACAGGUGCGCCAUUAGUAUCUGGUAUACUAAUGGUGCACCAGUGGUGCGCCAUUAGUAAAAAAUACUAGUGGCGCACCAGUAGUGCGCCAUUAGUAGACAAAACUGGUGCGCCACUAGUAGGCCUUUUCCUAGUAGUGUACAUGGCCCGACCAGGCAUGGCUGGUUCACGGGCUGUGCCGGGCCGACACGUGUGCUGGCAUCCUAGGCCCAGGCACGACACACCAGCCUCACGGGCCGGCAUGACGACCCGGCAGGCACACCGACCCCCCUAUUAUUCAGCAUAUUGGCCCGACCAAUUGGCAUGUAAAAAAUGAAAUAAAAAUAAAAAACAGUCCAUGCCGUGCCGGCACGUGUUCCCAACCUCCAGGCUGAGGCAUGGCCCUAGGCGGGCCAUGGGCCAAGCACGACCCGAUUAACCACGUGCCGGGCCGGCCCACCAUGGGCCGGGCAUGCGUGCUAACGGGCCAGCCCGCCUGGCACGGUCCAGUGGGCCAGGUAUGGUCCGAUCCCUUUUUUUAAAACUAUGCUCACACGGUCACACCACUCUCUUACCCCUAAAACACACACACACACACACACACACACACUCUCUUAGUCACAACCUCUCUCCUCUCUCUUCCCUUUCUCCAUCACAGACGCCGGCCGAUUUCGGCCGCCGCCGGCAGUCCCCGACUCUGAGGAGCCAUCCUCCGAACACCCCACGCUCCGACCUACCUGUCCACUGUGUGGCUUCGUCGGGCGCCUCCUCUGCCGUCUUCCCGCGGCUCCACGACCACCGGCGCAUGGUGUCACCAUGGAUGUCGGUACAUUUCCCGGCGCCUCCGUGUAGCCUCUCCGUCGCAUCCUCGGUGCUUCUCUGACGUGCCUCGCCCUGGGCGUGUCCACGUGCCCCGGUGCACACUGCACCGGCGGGACGACGUCGACGUGGUCUGGCGCUGGUGUGGUGUGCCGUGGUCUCCCUCAUAAGCAAGCAAUUACACUCUGAUAGUUCUACUCAUCACACUCUGAUCAAUCUAUCGUAAGCAAGCAAUUAUAACCACACACAAGCAAUUACUCACAGAUCCAAAAGAAAAGGCAAGAAAGAUUGCAAAAACUCCAAAAGAACCAAAUCAAAUUAUUUUACAAUAUUAGAUCCUAAUUUCCUUGAAAAGUGUGGUGGUGGCUCAAGAUGAUAGAUUACGUCUAGGGAUUCAAUUUGCAAAAGGAAUGAAUUGAAAAUGCGCUACAGUUUACAAGAUAUGAUCAAAUGAAGGUUCGAACUCAUAUUUGAAUUACUCAAAUUUGAAAGGUUCAAAAGUUGAAGCUAAUGACCCUACUAGAUGUAGAAAGUCCAUAUGAAUAUGUAGGAAAAAAAAUUAGUAGAUUGAAAGUCAACAUGAAUAUGUAAUUCAACAUAGCAUUUAAUCUGCUUAGAAUGUUGUGUGACAAUUCUUUGGUGGACUAGUAGAGUAAUCUGACUAUAAGCAAAAUUAUAUGUUCAAAAGAUAACACUAAUUGUACAAAUGAAAAGAUUAAUUCGACACGAAUACGCCACAAUUGGAUUCAUCGGAAACUGAGUUACGAAUAAAAAGAUAUGAUCAAAAGAAGUUUGAAUAUGAAUCUGAAAAAAUAUUGAAAAUUUGAAAAUUUCAAAAAGUUUAUGUGAUAGGUUCACUGGAUAGAUGGAAUCAAGACGAAACAAUAGGCAUUGGUUUUAUCUAACUUGGAUAAACCAGUAAAAAGUUAUGACUAUUUGAGAAAUCAAGGCCCUUCUGCUUAGACCCAAGAACAAAUUGGAUCGAUUUUUGAUAAAUCAAAUACAAUUAAGAUAGGAGAAAUUCCUUUUUUGAUUUUUUCCAAAUGAAUAAAGCAGUUGGAAUUUUGGAAAUGACAAUGGGUAUAUUUAUUACAUUGUUUUAGGGACGAAAAAUCAAGUUGUUUUAUGGAAGAAAAAUAAUUACGGCUAAAAGAAUUGUAGGUCUAAUGUAUACAUACAGAGACUAGUCGAUAUCUAAUUAUUCUAUCGCAUACUAGUCUAGAAAUAAUAUACUACGAGAUAUAAAGAAAAAUACGAACGACGAAAAUACCUUCACAACGCAGAGAAAAGACAACUUUCAGAAUUCCCGCCGGAGAGAAGAAAUAAUAUUUAUUUUUAGGAAGCUAGUCAAAGCAAAAUAUUGAUUUAAGCUAAGUCAAAUGAUCUUUGUAGGCUUUAUGGAUAUAUAUGUAUAGAUGAAAGAGAGGCUUAGAGGUUAAAGACUAGGUAAUGCGUGGGACUAAACGUAGAUGAAAAAGAGAAACAGCAAAGACAGGGCUCGCAUGGGCCUAAAGGCCUUCGGCCGGCCGCGCGUACACUGCGCGCUGCAGUUGUUUUUUUUUUUUCAUUUUUUUCUUUCGAGCAACUGAAAAGAAAAAGAAACUGCAGAGAAGAAAUAUAUGGGGAAGGAAUAUGGCCGGAUGGGCUGGCCCAUAUAGAAGAAAAGAAAUGAUGGGGUGCCCGCUGCAACUAUGCUGCGCAUGACGGCGACAGUUAGUUAUCGGCCGCGCGUGCAGUUUUUUGUUUAAAUAAAAACAGAAAAGGAAAGCUGAAUAAGGAAAAUAAAAUAAAAUUUGACAUAGGCAUAUUAUAUAUCAAAAUUCUCAAAAUUUUACAUUUAAAAAGAUGAACUAUUUCUUAGAGAUAAAUAGAUUAUUCGAAAUAAGUAUUUUUGUAAUAACUUCAAAUUGGAUUUUAAUUUGAUUUUCAAAUAUUUUGCAAAUAGUUUAUGUUUUUUUUUCCAAUUUUUUUUGAAAUCUUCUCUGAAUUUCCAAGGGUCAUGUUUUCUCCACUCAAAUAUUUUCUAUUUCAGUGAAUUUUGAGAUGAUUGAAAUUACUACAUAAGAGAGAAAAACUCCAAAUAAGUUUUGAAAGCGGUACUCAUCACUCCCCACUAUAUUUCAUAAAUUUUGAAGUCUUCUCUCAUGAAAAUUCUUGAGUGGCAUAAACCUUCCGAGUUUGAAAUAGUUUCAAAUGGAAUUCAAAUCUUUUCAAAACCCCUUUUUAUUUCAAAUGGAAGAAGUCAUGUUCUCUUCACUCUAGGGUUUGUUUUGAAUUUAAAUUUUGAAUUCCAUGGAACCAAAAGCAAGAAUGAAAGUUUGGGAAGCUCAUUUUAUUCCCUCUCAUUUAACUUUCAAAAAGUUUCAAAUUUCACUCAAUUUCACACAACAAAUCACCCCAGCAAUCAUUAUUACUUAAUUAAUAUAAAAUUUCAGAAUUUAGAAUUUUUGGAUGUUACACAGUAUUGGGCAUCAGCCGCGCUCGCCUACUGGGUCGUCUGCAUCCGGCCCAUCAAUCCUCGCCAAGGGAGCCAAAAAUAUUUGGCGGCCAUAAGGAAUAGAACUCUCGAUAUUGCAUCCACAUCCUCAGCCGGAUACCAACUGAGCUAGGGCGGAUUUGCACUACUAGGGAAAUUAAAGCCUAUACACAGAAUCUUACCAGCAACACGCUUUAAAAUAAGGCGCUGCUGCUACUUAGCAGUAGCGAGCUCAAGCUUAACUCGCUGCUGAAAUAAAUAUAGCAGUAGCGUCGCCGCUCAAAGACGCGCUACUGAUAUAAUUUUCACGAGGCCGCCGCAAGGCUAGUUAUAGCAGCAGCGCGUUAUCACGACGAGUGCUACUGCUACGUAGCAUAGUAGUAGCGCAUUUCGCCAAUAAGCGCUACUGCUAAGUUUACUACUAAAAUUUAGUCCCACCUCGCUCCGUGAAGAGAGUUUCUACCACCUUAAAUAUGUUACUUCUCAAACUUUGACAAGCACUUGGUCUUCAUUGAACUCUAUGUGUAGAAUUUGUGGCCGCAAUAUGAGUCUUCACCAGUUCCUAACCGGCAAGGACUCAUAUUGACAAAUCAGAUUGUACACAAAAAGAUCGUUGAUGAUCAAUGUAUUUUUGAUACAUUGAAUUAAGUCUAUUUUUACAUGCUGACACAGAGCAGUAGCGCUUCUUUGUGAAAGGCGCUGCUGCUAGGUAGUUUAGCAGUAGCAUCUUUCUCUAUAGCGCGCUACUGCUAAGCCAUUCCAUCUCCCACCCCCUCUCCUCUAUCCGAUCCACUCACACUCACACACUCACUGGAUCCCCUCUCAACUCCCCGCGCCGGUCCUCCCCCGUCGCCCUCCUUCCUCUACGCCGCCGUCACCUCCUCCUCCUUGCUGGACUCGGUACCGGCCUCCUCCUCCGUCCUCCCUCCACUCGCUGCUGGCCGGCCCCUCCUCGCUCCGCCUUCCUCCUCCGCCCUCCCUCCACUGGCCGCCGGCCGGCCCCUCCUCGCUCUGCCUUCCUCCUCCGUCCUACUCUCUUCUUCCUCCUCCGUCCUACUCUCUUCUCCCUCCUCGAGUCGCCCCUCCUUCUCCCUCCUUCCUGCUACAUUUUGAUUUAGUAGGCUAGUUCAUAUGCAACAUUUUGAUUUAGUUGAUAUGAUUUAGUUGAUUUAGUAGGCUAGUUGAUUUAGUGGAUUUAGAACAUUUUGAUUUAGUUGAUUUAGUAGGCUAGUUCAUUUAGUUGAUUUAGUAUGCACCAUUUUAUUGUUAUUUUUUCUGUACAUGAAUAGGUAGUUGCUUUUGUUUUUUAAUAAGUUACUUUUUGGCAAAAUGUAGGUGGUACCUUGUCAUCUAAUAUGUUACUAGAUCUUAGGAUUAUAAUUGUCCAUCAAAUUGCUUCCCGUGAAAAAACCAAAAAUAUCACAUGCUACUGUUUUUCUUUCCUGUGAAGUGGAUCGUUAAUCCUUUGCUCAUAUUGCUUUAGGAAAAAUGACACCACCACCACCACCACUAUGUCAACUGUGUAAGUCAAGGUGCGCCAGCAGCCUUGCAACUGGCAAGCUGUUCGGCAUCUACUUCCAGCCGAGUUUUCAUCAUGCGGCGGUAAGAAAUUAGAUGAAAUGUAAUAACUAUUUUAUUUUUAGUGUUGGCAUUACUGCAUUGUGUCAUUUUGCUUAUUUUACAUAGAUCGUCCCAUGCAAUGUGAGGUUAAAAUUCAACAAGCUGACAUGAGACACUGUGACAUUUGAGGCUCUUGGGGGGCCGUACACUAUGGAGGUCGAGAAAGGACGCAAUAUGUCGCAGAUUGGAGGAGAUGGAUGGACCUGUUUCGUCGCCUGCAUGCGUCUUACUGGUGGUGAGUUGAUCAGCUUCUCCUUCAGAGCAGAAAGACCCAAGUUGGCUGUCAUUUAUCUCAACCUGGUGGAAGAUGAUGAAGAUGACGAAGAUGAUGAAGAUGAUGAAGAUGGUGAAGAUAAUGAGGACCCACUCAAUGAAGAUGAUGAGGACCCACUUCAUGAAGCCAUCAUAGCUCAAAGAACAAGGCUGAGCGAAGAGGAGGUGUCCAACCCGUGGGACAUAAUUCCGCCACGUGCUGACUUUGUCGGGGUGCCAUUCGUGACCCGCCUGACAAAUACCAUGGUUGAUCGACAUGAUAUGGUAUGUUAUACUUACAAAUGCAAAUUAUCCGAUGAAAUACUUAGUGUAUAGUCCAAUGAUAUGGUAUGUUGUGUGGAAUCUAGUCGAUGUUAUGUUUUAGUGUAGAGUCCGAUCACAUGCUUAUUAGUGUAGAAUCUAAGGAAACUAUUAAUAGUGUAGAUAAUCCAUAUGUACUUAUUUGCGAGGCUAUUUAUUAAUUGAUAUGUUUUCUUAUUCAGAAAUUGUCAAAGAGCAUAUCUGUGAGUUAUGGUAUCGAGCCUGAUGAAGAAGGCUCAGCUGGACUACGCCUUACUAUAAGGGGCUCCGUUACAACCUGUACUUACUGUAUGGACACAGACGAUCGCACACACUUAAACUCGGUUGGGUGGAAGAAAUUCCUCGAUGGCAAGAAUCUUCGUGUUGGACAGGCCAUCCUAAUUACUAUCAGGAACACCAACCGCCCAGGCUUGAGGAUGAUGAUUGUCUUCGAUAUCAUCUAGAACUACAUAUGUGCGUGUGGCUAUAUCAUCUAGAACUAUAUAUGAUGAUCGUCGUCGAUAUCAUCUAGAACUACAUAUGAUGAUCGUCGUUGAUAUGACCUUGUACUGCUUGAGGAUCCAUGUUGACUAUGCAUGAAAUUGUUAUCUAGUACUCCCUUCGCUCCAAAUUACUCGUCGUGGUUUGAACUAAAACCACGACGAGUAAUUUGGAACGAAGGGAGUACUACCCAGUAAUGGUUUAUGAAUUUGAUAUCUAGUAGCAGUACCUAGUAUCUAGUAUCUGAAAGGGAAAGGGGUACAGGGGAAAAUGAUGAAAGAUAUAGCAGUAGCGAGGGACUGCGAAAUCGCUACAGCUAAGUAAUAGUAGUGCGUUCGGCAAAAGGCGUUGUUGAUAUCGUCAAUAGUAGUAGCGCGGGUACGGACCGCGCUACUACUAUAAGUUAGCUGUAGCGCCUUAUUAGUAGCGCGGCCAUCCGCGCUGCUAUUAGCCUCAAAACCCGUGCUACUACUAGGGUUUUCCCUAGUACUGUUGUUACAUAAAAAAUGCUGGUCCUCCUAUUAAAUAUACAUAUAGGUUUUGUUCCGCCCGCUCAUAGUUCUCAAUUUUUUUUGUUUGUACCCCAGGUGGGAUGGCUUACCCACGUAUUUCUUUUUCUGUGAUACGGAUGAACAAAAAAAAUUUAAGCCCUGAGGGAAUUGAAUUAUGGACCUUCCCUAUUGUGUCGGUGGACAAAAUCAACUCAUCUAUCUUGCAGUUAUGAUGAGAAUAGUAUUGCCUUCAAACUUUAUAGUAAAUCCCCACCAGUUUGUAUAUGUCAAUAGGUUGUCUAGAAAUAAGAAGUUUGUAUCAAAAUAAGGAAGUUAUCUUGAGAAUCAUGAGCAGAAGGAGGGACUCCAUAAAUUACUGCCGGUGCUAGCUUGCAAGUGCCAAUAAAAGAGAAUAUGUUGGUUUGGCUCGAAUACAAAAGUUGUGGGCACGUGAGUGCUAAAAUAAUCAAAGAAAAUAAACCCUAAUAAAGAAGGGACAUUGAUGUCUGGUUAUGCGCUAAAUAUGCUAAUGAAACAAGAUUUAUGCCCUACAAUUAGUAAUCCACUCGAUUACGCCAUAGUAAGAGAGAGUGUUCGAAGCAACCGUACCCUGAAGGUCGCCGCAUAGCUACCAAAUGAGGAGGCAGACACAACCGUUGCAUAGCUACGAAAUGAGGUGGCUGAAUCAACCGCGGCAUAGCUACCAAAUGAGGUGGCAUACACAACCGGAGGAAAAAAAGGCACGAGUAGGAUGGUUGCCGCCACGCCGACUAACAACAUCACUAUCAAGAUCUCAUGGGACAAACAUGACCCGUGAGAAGACCACAACUCCUCGCUCUAUCGCACCGCCGCGGGGAUCGUUUUUGGUGGACACAUGAAUUAUCUCUCCCAUUGCUUCUCGCAAAGAAAUGUCUCUUCCGUUGCAACGCACGGGCAUAUGUGCUAGUAGCAUAAAAGUAAAUAGGUAGGCUCUUUGCAGCGGGAAGCAUGGAUUUGCAGAGGUGCUAGAGCUUGAAACUUAAAACAGAGAUGGAUACAUUUCGAGAGGUAUGCUUUUCCUGUCAAUGUCAUGACCGAGUAUUUUUAAUAUCUUCCAUGCUAAACACAUUAUCGGCGGUUCCCAAGUGGAAAGGUACUCCCCUUCAACCAUACAAACACAAGCCAUGGCUAGCUGAAUUCAUGGGUGCCCUCCAAACAGUCAACUUUCCUGUGGAGCUUGUUUUAUUAUUAUUUUCUUUAUUUUGAUUAUAGGAAUGGGCAUCCCAAUUACCAGCCUCUUCAUGCAAUGACAAGUGAAUAAACACCCAUCGUGAGAAUAACCCGCUUAGCAUGGAAGAUACUGACCGCCCCUUAUCGCUCCAUGAGCGGUAUGAGCACACAAAACAUAUGCUUAUUUGAAUGAUUAGAUGUGGCACAUGCAAAUUUACUUGGAACGACAGAGAAUAUCGCAUAUAAGUAAAUAUAGUGGACUCAUCUGGAACAAUUUUGGGUUUAAUGAUUUGGACGCACAAGUAGCAUUUCCGCUUAAUACAGGCAAAAGGCUAGCAAAUAGAUCGAGAAGCGACCAACUAGAGAUCGACAAUGGUCAUAAUCAUGCAUUGAGAAUAAUUAACAUUGAAUACGAGCAUGAGUAGGAUAUACACACCAUGAACAUAAAUAUCAUGGAGGCUAUGUUGGUUUUGAAUCAACUACAUGUGUGAACAUGUGCCAAGUCAAGCCACUUGAAUUGUUCAGAGUAGGAUACCAUACUACAUCACAACCAUUUUAAUGUAUGUUGACACUCAAGAUAAAUCAUUAUCCACUCCUAACUAUUUAAGCAUAGCAUGAGCAACUAUAAUCUCUAAUUGUCAUCACAAAUAUUUUUACUCAUAAUAUGCUGAAUCAAGAUCGACAGAGUUAAACAUAUUUACAAAAACGAAAGCAAAAAGAGUUCAUAUCAGAUUUCCUUCACCGCGAUCACUUCAUUAAAUCAUCGUCAUUAGGUCCACCAUUGACAUCACGUUCAUGUGCUGUAUGAAGUCUUCCACUUGCAGGUCUAGGUAUAAUGCUGUCCAGCUUCUGCACACGCUCCUCAAUCGAGAUACUCGGGGAGCAAAAGUGUCAUCACGCGGCCGCCGGCACCGUCGCAGCCAGGCCCUCUCAACCACAGAACGAGGUGCUGCCGGACCAUGCGGCGCGGAGGAGGAUGUCCCCCGCGGUGGUGAGGUCCAUGAUGGCCCGCAACGUGAGGUGGUCGUCCGGGUGGCAUGCCACCCGGUCCAUUACCGGUGGCAAGAGAACCACAGACGAUAGCACCAAGAAGAGGGGCAACGACGACACGUGCCAACAUUUUCCCCAUGGAUUCAAUCUUUCUCUGCCCUAGUGUUACACAACAAUUUACGAGAACUUUUUUUAUAUGAAAGGCAUAUAGACUGACUUUCAAAUUAAUGAAGCCAUGAACAAGCUAGGAUACAAGGUGCAAAUUAUUACAAUGGUUUUGCAUGAAUUUUUUUGAAAAAUUACAGACAAAAAUUGCUGUAGGCUGAAACUACAGAAGCCGGCCAAAGAGUGAAAUUGCCAGCACAAGGGGGAUCAAAACCAUGCCGUUGGAGAGCACAACACCGACCAGAACAAUGGGAGCAGAUGAAUCCGCAGAUCACCAACAAGUAGUGAAGAGUAAGAUCGAGCCUUGCAGGGAGAAACCAUUGCCUCUACACAGCCCAGUCGUGCCAUUGCUUGAGGGGAGACCACUAUCUCCCCUACAACAUCCAGUACGAGGAUGCCGCUCAAAGGCAUGCAAGCAUGAGCGCAGCAGGGCAGCAACCGCUGAAGGGUAACAAGGCACACACUCCCGCCACCUCCACCACACUGUCGAACAUCUGAGGGCACAUUGCACCACAGCUGCCACCAAACCACAAAUUGCAGCACCCUAACCCUACACCAAGCUGGCGCCUCCAAGAAGGAUGACGACGAUAGUGCAUCACCGCUGACCGGCCAAAGGCUUAGGGUUUCAACCUAGGACUAAAGAGGGGAGGAGGGGGAGGAAGACGAAACUAAACACGUCCUCAGAGGGCAGUAGGAAAGUCGUAGCACUGCCGCCGCCGUCGAGGUUGAUGCAGAGUCGACCAAGGGAAUCCCUCGUUCCAGGCUCCGCCGCAACACCCUCUGGGCCAAGAUCUGGCAACCCAAAAGGGCCGGAUCCAGAUCGACGAGGGUGAAAAGACGCAUACGGGAAAGGGCCGGUGAUCCGAGCAGUGUGGUGCCUCUGCCACCCAAUCACCGCCCGCGUGAUCGGAGGGGCGACCAACACCUGCAGCACCAUCCACCGGCGAAGUCGAUACCGCCUUGCCAGAUCCAGGGCCGCCGCCUCGGUGCCCAAAUCUCCCUGCAGCGAAGCAGGGCAGCAGACCCUCGCCACCACCUUCAAUUGAGGCCGCACAAUGAUCGUUGACGUUCUCAGGUGGCGGUGGGGAGGAAGGGAGAGGAGGAGUGGGUGGCUCGGGUACUAGUGUUUCGUCUCCCUAGAGACGCGGGGCCACAAAUUGCGAGAAGUCAGAGAGAAACCAUCUGGGGGUGGCUGGAUGCGGAGAGGAGUGCGUAGUGAUGGUCGAGUGGUAAGUAGCAGCAGCGUUAGGAGCAAUGAUGUGGUGGCUGACUGGAGGACGCGGCCGAGCAGGCGUUACUCCACACUCCACUCCAGCGAAACUCCAAGAGUAAAGUCCAAAGUCUAGCCAAGCUAGAUAUCCAGAAAUAAGCAAAUCAGAACAAGCACGACAUGCCAUCAAGCUAGCUAUGUAAAGUAGUCUAGCCAAGCUCGCCAUUGACAAACCAGCCUCCUCUUCUACAUGCGCGUUGUCUUGCCGUUAAUGAUGUUAAAGCAUCUACGACUGGAUAUGUCAAAUAUGGCCCCUCACAUGCCAGCGAAUGUGUCGGCGCGUCCGCGGGCAGUGACCGGGCACGCCUCAAAUUUCAAUUGUUGUAUCCAGACAUCUCAUACUAGAUUCUUAUAUCUAUACAAAGGCAUGCAAACAGAAUAACCUAUGUACUACGUCGAUCAUCUAGCUACUCACCGUCUUAUAUGUCGACGAUCUCCAUGCCCGGCUCUGGCAGGAUUGGCGGCCGCUGCAGCUCUGCCUCCUCCGACUGCUUCACUCUGACCUCCUCCGCCUCUACCUCUGCGUCGAAUUCAGCGAAGAUCGCGUCAGACUCCGCCUCCUCCCGCCGGAAGAACGCCCGGUUGGCCUCCACAUAGGCCUCAUUCUAGAUGGACUCCAGGAUGGCCUGCUGCUCCGCCAUCUCGUCGGACUGGGCAACGACGAAUGAUACGUCUCCAUCGUAUCUACUAUUCCUAAAGCUUUUGCUCUUAUUUUGGACCCCAAUUUGCAUGAUUUGAAUGAAACUAACCUGGACUGACGCUGUUUUUAGGAGAACUACCAUGAUGUUGUUUUUGUGCAGAAAUAAAAGUUCUCAGAAUUUUACGAAACUUUUUGGAGAAUUAUUUUGGAAUAAAUAAAGAUUUNNNNNNNNNNNNNNNNNNNNNNNNNNNNNNNNNNNNNNNNNNNNNNNNNNNNNNNNNNNNNNNNNNNNNNNNNNNNNNNNNNNNNNNNNNNNNNNNNNNNNNNNNNNNNNNNNNNNNNNNNNNNNNNNNNNNNNNNNNNNNNNNNNNNNNNNNNNNNNNNNNNNNNNNNNNNNNNNNNNNNNNNNNNNNNNNNNNNNNNNNNNNNNNNNNNNNNNNNNNNNNNNNNNNNNNNNNNNNNNNNNNNNNNNNNNNNNNNNNNNNNNNNNNNNNNNNNNNNNNNNNNNNNNNNNNNNNNNNNNNNNNNNNNNNNNNNNNNNNNNGCCCUGGUGGGUAGUGGGGCCAACGAGGCUCCGCUGACCCUAAUUCCAACUCUAUGAAAUCCUAUUUUUGAAGAAAAAAUAGGAGAAGAAGUUUCAUCGUGUUUCACGGUACGGAGCCGCCGCCACCUCCUGUUCUUCAUCGGGAGGCCAGAUCUGGAGCCCGUUCGGGGCUCCGAAGAGGGGAAUCUUUGGUCUUUGUGAUCACCAACCCUCCUUCAUCACCAAUUCCAUGAUGCUUCCCACCGGGAGUGAGUAAUUCCUUCGUAGGCUUGCUGGACGAUGAGGGGUUGGAUGGGAUUCAUCAUGUAAUCGAGUUAGUUUUGUUAGGGCUUGAUCCCUAGUAUCCACUAUGUUCCGGAGAUUGAUGUUGCUAUGACUUUGCUAUGCUUAAUGCUUGUCACUAGGGCCCGAGUGCUAUGAUUUCAGAUCUGAACCAUUUAUGUUUUCACCAUUAUAUCUAUGUUCUUGAUCCGAUCUUUUCAAGUCAUAUGCACCUGCUACGUAUUAUGAUCCAUAAACCCCAAGGGUGACAGUAAUUGGGAUACUUUUCGGUGAUGACCGUAGUUUAAGGAGUUCAUGUAUUCGUUAUGUGUUAAUGCUUAGCUCCGGUUCUCUGUUAAAAGGAGGCCUUAAUAUACCUUAGUUUCCUUAUGGACACUGCUGCCACAGGAGGGUAGGAUAAAAGAUGUCAUGCAAGUUCUUUCCCAUAAGCACGUAUGACUAUUUACGAAUACAUGCCUACAUUAUAUUUAUGAACUGGAGCUAGUUCUGUGUUGCCCUAGGUUAUGACUGUUAUAUGAUGAAUAUCAUCCAACAUAAUAAACCAUCGAAUGCCUACGAGUUUUUCACAUAUUGUUCUUGCUACUCUUACAACUGCUACAAAAUUAUUGCUAUCACUGUUACCGCUACUAUUACUGUUACCAUUGCCAUCAAAACUAUCAUAUUACUGUGCUACUGAUCACUCUGCUACAGAUAUUUAAUCUCCAGGUGUGGUUGAAUUGACAACUCAACUACUAAUACUUGCAAAUAUUGUUUGGCUCCCCUUGUGUCGAAUCAACAAAUUUUGGUUGAAUACUCUACCCUCGAAAACUAUUGCGAUCCCCUAUACUUGUGGGUUAUCAAGACCUUUUUCUGGCGCCAUUGCUGGGGACCAUAGCUAUAUUUGUUGAGUCACUUGGGAUUUCUAUCUAUUUAUCACUAUGAAUAAUCUGAAAGAUACUAGAACCAAGAUCGUUCCCUCUAAAACGAGGGGAGGUAAGGAAUUGCCAUCUAGCUCUGCACUUGAUUCACCUUCUGUUUUGAAUAGACUUGCAACACCACCACAUGUUAUUAAUCCUGAUAUGUCACAAGUUAUUGAUGAUGCUACUUCUGCUAUGCAUGAUUCUUAUGAUAUGCUAAUACCUUGCUUGAUGAUAAUGCGCCACUAGGUCAACUUCUUGAUGAACAACUUGCUAGAGCUAAAGAUAUUGAGAAUGCUGAAACUGGUGAAAUUACUAAAACUGAUGAAGUAUUCAAAACUGAAAACUAUGAAACAACUAUUAGACCUAUCUCUCCUAGAUUUGAAUUGCCUAAGAUUCCUGAGGGUUAUGUUAUGGACAGAGAGGUAGCUAGAGAAUUUCUUACGUGUAAGGAUAGGGAUGAUCUUAAGAAAUUAUUAUGCAAGCUGAAAGAAUUUUUUUUGAAUGCUAGAAUGAAGUGUGAUCCUAAGUUUGCUACCUUACCUAUAUUUGUUACCGAUAAGGAUUAUGAAUUCUCUGUCAACCUAGAGUUAAUUACUUUGGUGAAUUUGAUCAUUUCCAUGGCUAUGAAACUAAAGCUAUUGUGGCACAUCUGACUAAAAAGCCACCCUAUUUUCUCAUGAUGAGAAAAUUCACUAUUACUACAUCCUGAAGUUAUUUCCGUUUUCAUCAAAGGGUGAUGCUAAGAUAUGGUACAAUACUCUUGCUCCUGAUUGUGUGCGUAGUCCCCAGGAUAUGAUUUAUUACUCCUCUAAAAAAUAUUUUCCUGCUCAUAAGAAACAAGCUGGCUUACAGGAAAUAUUUAACUUUAUGCAAAUUGAAGAAGAGAGUCUCCCACAAACUUGGGGGAGGCUUCUCUAAUUACUUAAUGCAUUGCCUGAUCAUCCUCUUAAGAAAACAAAAUACUUGAUAUAUUCUAUAAUGGACUAAUCGAUGCUUCUUGGGACUUCCUAGAUAGUUGUGCUGGUUGUGUUUCCAGGGAACAAACUACCGAACAAGCUGAGGAAUUAUUGAAUAAUAUAUUGAAAAAUUAUGAUGAUUGGACACUUCCUAAACCACCUCCUAAACCCACUCUGACGAAGAGGGGUAUCUUAUUUCUUAGUCCUGAAGAUAUGCAAGAGGCAAAGAAAUGUAUGAAGGAGGAAGGUAUUAAAGCUGAGGAUGUUAAGAAUUUACCACCUAUUGAAGAAAUAUAUGGUCUUGACACACAACCACCACAGGUGGUAGAGUAAACUCUUUAUUGAAAUUUGAUGAAGGUGACGUCCCUUACAACAAACAUCCUAGUAAAAUUCUUAUAUGAAUUUGACAACUACAUUAUGAAACAAUAUCACUUCAAUGCUAAUGUUAUGAAACAAUUAAAACAAAACUCUGAUACGAUUGCUCGCUUAAGUGACUUCUUAUUUAGAAUCACUAAUGAUGUUAGAGGUGUAGGAAAACAUGCCUCUAUGGUUCAAACCCAGUUAGAACAAGUUGCUAAAUCCCAAAGAAAAUUUCUUAGCGAAAUGAAUAAUAAUAUGAAUGAUUACGUUGUUAGAGUAGAAACUAGAGGAGGCAACAUGAAUGAGGAACCACUUUAUCCCGAGGGACACCCUAAAAGAAUUGAACAAGACUGUCAAAGAAUUAAUACGGAUGCACCUAAUCCUUCUAAAAAGAAAAAGAAAAAGAGAAACAAUAAGACUUUGCAUACCUCUAGUGAACCUGAGAUAGAAAAACCUUCUGAAGAUAACAAUGAUGUUUAUAUUUCUGAUGCUGAAACCCAAUCUGGUAAUGAACAUAAUGAAAAUAAUAAUGAUGAUGUUCAUGAAGAUGCUCAACUAGACAAUGAAAAAGAACCACAUAAUGAUGUUGAAAUAGAACCUGCUAUUGAUCUUGCUAACCCACAACCCAAAAAUAAAUGUUAUGAUAAAAGAGACUUUGUGGCUAGAAAACAUGGUAAAGAAAGAGAGACAUGGGUUCAGAAACCCAUGCCCUUUCCACCUAAACCUUCUAAGAAAAAGGAUGAUGAAGAAUUUGAAUGCUUUGCUCAAAUGCUUAGGCUAGUCUUUUUGCAUACUCGCUUGACUGAUAUUAUAAAGAUGGCCCCUAUGCUAAAUACAUGAAAGACAUUAUCACUAAUAAAAGAAAAAUACACGAAGCUGAAAUCUCCACCAUGCUUUCUAAUUACUCUUUUAUGGAUGGAGUACCUAAAAAACUUGGAGAUCCAGGAAUACCAACUAUACCAUGCUCUAUCAAAAGAAAUUAUGUCAAACUGCUUUAUGUGAUUUAGGAGCUGGUGUUAGUUUUAUGCCUUUAUCUUUAUAUAAAAGACUUGAUUUGAAUAAACUAACACCUACUGAAAUAUCUUUGCAAAUGGCUGACAAAUCAACUGCCAUACCUAUCGGUAUUUGUGAGGAUGUGCCCAUGGUUGUUGCCAAUGCUACUAUCUUAAUAGACUUUGUUAUACUUGAGAUGCCCGAGGACGACAACAUGUCGAUUAUCCUUGGUAGACCCUUUUCAAAUACUGCAAGGGCUGUUAUUGAUUGCAAUAAAAGCGAAGUCACCUUUCAUAUAAAUGGUAAUGACACUAGUGCAGAAUUGGCCAUUAGUCCCAGUUCACCAACCGGCACUAAUAAGUCGGGAUUAAAGGCCCCCACCCUUUAGUCUCGGUUGGCCACGACCCGGGACUAAAUCUCUGCCAUGUGGCUGGCAGCGUGCGCCGGAGGCUGGGGAUCUUUAUUCCCGGUUGUAUCAAUCGAGUGGAUCGAUUAGCUAGCUAUAUACAUACUAGAAGUGGUAUAGUACACGUGAGAGUAGAUCGAGCGACUCAAUUAGCAAGAUAGAUGCGAGCUUUGCAAGGUGGUGGAUCGAUGCGGCCAUGCUGGAGCACUCACCCGCCAGUGAGGAGGAGCACUGCAUCAAGAUCGAGCAUGGACGGGUAGCUGCUGCUGCUGCUGCAGCUUGCUGCUAUAGCUGAUGUUGUUGUUUGCUGCUGUGAGCUGCUGCUACUAGCUCCGUUGAUUGCUGCUCUUUGCGGAGGCUGCGGCACUUCGGCGUCGGCGGCGCUGGCGACGGCGGCAUGAAGUGGAGAAGGAGUGGGCAGAGAGGAGGGUGAGCUGGUAGCCAUUGAAGAGUGUAUGAGGAUAUAUAUAAGGGAGAGAUGGGAGGGAGGAGAGAGGCCAAUGGCCGUUCAAUUUCGGAACAAGCACACAAGAUAUGCGGUUGAGUUCUUGCCAUGUCACUGAUCCGUGGCUCACGCGGCUCAGCCAAUGAGAAAAAAGCCUAGGGAAGACUUUAGUCCCGGUUGGUGAUGCCAACCGGGACUAAAGGUCUAUCUUUAGUCCUGGUUGGUGAUACCAACGGGGACUAAAGGGGCUCGCAGGGGCCCAUCCUGACCCAGCAUGCCACCACCCCUUUAGUCCUAAAGCCUAGGGAAGACUUUAGUCCCGGUUGAUAACACCAACCGACACAAGAGGUCACAAAUGAGCCGGGACUAAAGCCUAGUUGUUGGAACCGGGAUUAAUGGCCACAUUAGUCCCGGGCCGUAAUCAAACCGGGACUAAUGAUGCGAACGUAAAGUCGUUUUUCUACUAAUUUGAGCAUAUAGUGCAUUUUCCUAAGAAACAAUUCCAAGUGAAUGGUAUUAAUGUUAUUGAAAAAUCUUCAACAAACACUAUCGGAAGCUUUCAAGUUCCCCUUCCUACUGCCCAAAAGAAAUAUGAAAUACUUAUUGUUGGGGAUAUGCAUAUCCCCGUUGAGGUCACUUAGUGUUUUACGAAAAUUCUUCGGCUUCAUGCUAAUCGAAAGUGGUUCUUAAUAAGACUCGAUCAACCUUAUUAAUGAAUUAUUUUUAGGAGGCAUGUGGUUGAUGAAUUUAGUAAAUACAACCUUCUGUCCCCACUUUUUGUUUUCUGUUAUUUGUAGUUAAAUAAAAUAAAUACCAUGUUUAUCCGGUUUUCAGAAUUUUCUGUGCAAUAAAAAGUGCCAGCAAAUAAAAGUGCUCAGAAUGCCCUGAAAUUUAACAUGAUUUUUUAUGAAUAUUUAAGAAUUUUUGAUGCAAAUAACACUGCAGGGGGGUGUGCCCCUAGAGCCCACAAGGCACCAGGGCGCACCAGCUACCCCAGGCGCACCCUGGUGGGUAGUGGGCCCCAUGUGACCCCCUCACUUAUCCCUUCAACUCAUGUCAUCACCUACCUCCAUGGAAAAAAAUUACCAUUGCUCUCUCUCUCUCUCUCUCUCAUGUUCUUACUCUCAAACCCACAGAUUUCGAUCUCUUUGCUCGAGGUUCCAUUUUCGAAACUAUUUUGGGGGAUUGCUACUUGGUAUGUGACUCCUCCAUUACUGCAAUUAUUUUUUCUCUAGUGGUUUAUAUUUUGAAUAAUUAGCUACUCUUGGUGCUUCAUUAAAUGAGCUUGCAUGUUGAAUUCUUAGACUUCUAGGUAGAUUGAAUGCUUGAUAUAGCCUCUAAGCAUCUAUAUGAGUAGUUACUAUCAAUCUUGUGUAGUUUGUUAACAAAACAUUUGUGGCCAAAAUAUUCAGAAUUUUAUUCAUAGGAAAAGAUGAGUAUCUUCCAGGAGUUUUCCUCCAAAAAGAAUGUCAAGGGAGUCAUUGGGGAAUCAUCGGACAUCGACCUCAACACUCCAAGAAUGGCGGAGGUGCGGCCGUGCGAAUGGCCACACAAUGCCUUCAUGGACGAGGCCGGGUUCCAUCAAGAGUUUUCCCAAUUCAUUGCAAAUGCUGGGCUGACUAACUUCCUAGCAGAUGAGUGUGACCAAUACGACCUUCUCAUAAAUUCCUUUGUGCAAAAUUCCUAUUUCUUGAAUAGGGAACAAUCCUCCUAAGGCGCGGUUCAAGUUAUAUUCUGAAACCCGUCAGAUACCGCUCACUGAAUUUUUUGAGAUAUGUUUAAUUCCCACUGACGGGAAUAAGAGAAUAGACCAACAAAGUUUGAGGAUUUCCUUCUCACUUUGACAGUGGAUGAGGAAAGAGGUGUGUCGAAAGCCACCGCCACUAGUCCACAGUUUCCUUUUGUGCAUUACUUUGCUUUAUUCAAUGCACAGUGUUUAAUGGCUAGGGAGAAGGCCGGUAUACUUAGUGCUCCUGACCUUUCUUUUUUAUGUCGUGCACAUCAGAAUGAUCACACCUUUAACCUAAGAGCUAUUAUUGCAUGUCGUUUGCACCUUAAUAGAACUAAGGGAAAAUACAUGGUGGUAUUUAUGCCACACUCUUAGCGAGUCACUUUAAUGUUCAUAUACGCCAACAAUAGGAUGCCCUCUGAUCUUGAGAAUAAUAUCAAAGAAUUUAUUAAUACUCAAAAAGUUUUCAACACUACAAUCAAAGAAAAAUUGAGUAAAAUUGAUGAUAUGUCUAGGAGCAUUGAUAAAAUUAUUCACGAUCUGGAAAAUCUUAAGACUAAAAUUUUGCCACCCAAGGUUGAUACUAAUGAAUCAAUUAAAGAUUUAUAUAUCUCCAUAGAUGAGAGUAAGAUAACCUCUAUUCUAAGUGCUAAAAGAGAAUUUUUUAGAAAAGCAAUUCCGCCCGAUUUCUUUUGUAGUAAUGUUGAGGAUAUUAAAAUGAUUGGAGUUUAUUCUAUUGCUUCUUUGUUUAGCAAUAUUAAACUUGAUGAUAAGGGGACUGAAGAAGAGUCAACUUUAGUUAUAUAUAAGGCAUCCCCAUAGUUCGGAGGGUGAAAAUCUUGUUGAAAAAAUUGAUAAAAGUGGAUUUGGAGAGGUAAUAACUUUAACUAGUGAUGUGCCCACGAUCUUGGACUACUAAGACUUUAAUUAUGAUAGUUGCUCUUUGGUUAAAUGUAUUUCUUUGUUACAAUCCAUGCCAAAUUCACCCAACACACAUGAAAAAAAUAAGGCUUUCACUAAUAUAUUGUAGAAGCUAUGAUGAAAACUUUUGAAGAAAAGUUAGAAUUAAAGAUUUCAAUCCCUAGAAAAUUAUAUGAUGAAUGUGAAUCCACCAUUAAAGACAAAAUUAAAAAUUAUGAGUGCAAUGCUUUAUGUGAUUUGGGUGCUAGUGUUUCCACAAUUCUAAAAUCUCUAUGUGAUGUGCUAGGUUUUACUAAUUUGGAAGAGUGUUCUUUUAAUUUGCACUUGGUGGAUUCUACUAUUAAAAAGCCUUUGGGAAGAAUUAGUGAUGUUCUUAUUCUUACAAAUAGAAAUUAUGUGCCCAUGUAUUUUAUUGUACUAGAUAUUACUGCAAUCCAUCUUGUCCCAUAAUACUUGGUAGACCGUUCUUACGAACUAUAGGUGUAGUUAUUGACAUGAAAGAAGUGAAUAUUAAAUUUCAGUUUCCGUUAAAGAAGGGUAUGUCAAACUUUCCUAGAACUAAAAUUAAGCCACAAUAUGAGUCAAUCACGGGGGUAACCUAUGGAGCAUCAACCAAAGAUGACAAUACUUGAAAUUAUGCAUUACGCCUAGCUAGGGGCAUAAAACAACAACGCUUAUUGGGAUGCAACCCAAUAGUUAUCAUUUAAAUUUUUGUUUCUUUUCAUAAACACAAAAUUAGGCUAUUGUUAUGAUUGUGCUUUUUUAGUUUUAAUUACUGUUUGUACCAAGUAAAGCCUUUAGGAUGGUUUGGGUGCUAAUUGACUUGAUUCUAUUAAAAAAAUAGAAACUUUUGCUCCCAAUUCUGGAAUUUUGUAAAUUCACACGAACGUGCUUUUGCACUAAUUUUUACACAUAAUUGAUAUACAAAUUGCCCAUGUUGUCCUAUUUUUUCACAAGUUCUAGAGUUACAAAAGUAUGGUUAAUGUUCAGAUUUCUACAGGUUGUUCUUUUUUUGACAGAUUCUGUUUUUGUUGCAUUGUGUGCUUAUUUUGAUGAAUCUAUGGAUUGUAUUGCGGAUGGGGGUAUAAGCCAUGGUAAAGUUAGAAUAUAGUAGGCAUAAUGCAAUAAAAAAAUAAAAAUGGGUUUGCAACAGUACUUAAAUUGGUGAUUAGCUUUAUUAUACUAAUGAAUCUCACGAAGGUUUUUGUUAAUAUUUGUGUGAUUGAAUUUUUCAAGUUUUGGGUGAGAUCAUGAUGGAUGAAGGAACAAGGAGUGGUAAGAGCCCAAGAUUGGGGAUGCCUGAGGCACCCCAAAGUAAUAUUCAAGGACUCCUAAGCAACUAAGCUUGGGGAUGGCCUGAAAGGCAUCCCCUCUUUCUUCUAACGACCAUCGGUAAUUUUAGUUGGAGAUAUAUUUUUAUUCCUCACAUAUCAUGAGUUUUGCUUGCCGCAUCUUGUAAUAUAUGAGUCUUUGCUUGUUUUUCUUUUUAGUUUGUCACAAUCAUCCUUGCUGGACACACCUAUUUGAGAGAGCCAUAAAUUUAUGUGCUUCACUUAAUUUUUUUUGCGCUAGGCAAUUGCUCUAGUGCUUCACUCAAAUCUUUUUGGGCACGAUGGUGAUUUAAUUUUUGAAGAAAUGCACUCUCAUGCUUCACUUAAAUUAUUUUGAGAGUUGAUAAAUUUUGAAGAAAUAUGCUCUCAUGACUCACUUAAAUAAUUUUGAGAGUUGAUAAAUUUUGAAGAAAUAUGCUCUCAUGCUUCACUUCAAUUAUUUUGAGAGUUCAUAUGAUAAAUUUUGAAGAAAUAUUUGUGCUCUUGUGCUUCACUUAAAUAUAUUUGAGAGUUGAUAAUAGCAAUGGUAAUUUGCACGAGCUAUGAAUUUGAUCCCAAAGUGGUGAAUAUUCAAGAGGGAUAUAAUAAAGACUUUCAUGAAGAUCAUUUGUUAUUAUAAACUUGACUCAUUGCAAUAGUGUAGCUAUAUUAGGAUAGUGAUAUGCGAGUCAUGUUGGUGAGUAAUUAUGCUUUAUUAAGAAUAUUGGUGUUAAGGUUUGUGAUUCCCUAUCCAAGCACGAAAGUCAAUAGUUAUGCAACGAAGUUAUACCCUACUUGUACUGCAUUAUUCAGUGUUAGUUAUGUUUAAUGUGUGUUUAUGACCAUUUUUUUAUUGGUCGCUUCUCAAUCUAUUUGCUAGCCUUCAUUUGUACUAAGCGAGAAUGCUGCUUGUGCAUCCAACUCCUUAAACCAAAGUUGUGCCAAAUGAGUCCACCAUACCUACCUAUAUGCGGUAUUUCCAUGCCCUUCUAAUUAAAUUUGUAUGUGCCAACUCUAAUUUUCAAAAUGAAUUUCGGUUUUGUGUGCCCAUACCGCUCAUGAAGCGGCAGGGGUGGCUGAUAUUUUCCAUGAUAGGUAUUUUAUUCUCACGAUGAUGAGUGGUUAUUCACAUGUCAUUGCACGAGUGUGGCAGGUAAUAGGGACGCCCAGUCCCGAAAUUAAUUUUUUUAAUAUGAUAUUAGUAAUAAAUUCCUUGGAAAGUGUUGGUAUGGAAGGCACCAUGGAUACGGCCAGCCAUGGAUUCUGUAAGAAUGGUGGAAAGGAAAUAAGCUUUAUUUUCUGUUUGGGGACCGCCUAUGAUUUAUCUAGCAUGGAAGAUAUUUGGAAUUCUCGGUCGUUUUCAUUGACAGGAAAAACAUGCCUCUCAAAACAAUUUUAUCUUUCAAUGUAAGCUAUGAUCUUUGGCACCUCUACAGAUCUCUACUUCCCUCUACGAAGGGCCUUUCUAUUUACUUUUAUUCAAUUUUUAUUUCAAUUUUGAGUCUCCAUCUUCUCUUAUAAAGCACCAACUAGGGAACACUAUUAUCAUACUUGUGCAUUGGAUAUUGCUAAUAUUUGAGUGUGUUUCAUGAAUGGAUCAAUGAUUGAUCAUAAUAGGCUACGGAUAACUUUCUUUAGCAUUGAUAUUUUGAAAGAAAUAGUUGCUUGUUGAUAUGCUUGAGUAUUGAUGUUUUCAUGUAAAAUUGUAGACUAUUGCUCUGAAUCAUUCAAGUCUAAAUGUACAUGCUAUAAAAGAAAAGGAAGUUAUAUUAUCCAUCUUUAGUGUGGAUGUCUCCAACGUAUCUAUAAUUUUUUAUUGUUCCAUGCUAUUAUAUUAUCCAUCUUGGAUGUUUUAUAUGCAUUUAUAUGCUAUUUUAUAUGAUUUUUGGGACUAACCUAUUAACCUAGAGCCUAGUGCCAGUUUCUGUUUUUUCCUUUUUUUUGCGUUUUAACAGAAAAGGAAUACCAAACGGAGUCCAAUUGACCUGCCAAUUUUUGUGGAUUUUUUAUGGACCAAAAGAAACCCCCAAAAGAAACCUAGAUCGGGAGUUCCACCUUCGCAAGCCUCUGUAGCCACCAAAAACCAAGCGGGACCCUGUUCCGGCUCCCUACCAAAGGGGAGAUCCAUCACCGGUGGCCAUCUUCAUCAUCCCGGCGCUCUCCAUGAUGAGGAGGGAGUAGUUCACCCUCGGGGCUGAGGGUAUGUACCAGUAGCUAUGUGUUUGAUCUCUCUCUCGUGUUCUUGAUAUGGCACGAUCUUGAUGUACCGCGAGCUUUGCUAUUAUAGUUUGAUCUUAUGAUGUUUCUCCCCCUCUACUCUCUUGUAAUGGAUUGAGUUUUCCCUUAUCUUAUUGGAUUCAGUCUUUAAGGAUUUGAGAACACUUGAUGUAUGCCUUGCAUGUGCUUAUUUGUGGUGACAAUGGGAUAUUCACGUGAUCUACUUGAUGUAUGUUUUGGUGAUCAACUUGCUGGUUCAGUGACCUUGUGAACUUAUGCAUAGGGGUUGACACACGUUUUCAUCUUGAUUCUCCAGUGGAAACUUUGGGGCACUCUAUGAAGUUCUUUGUGUUGGUUUGAAUAGAUGAAUCCGAGAUUGUGUGAUGCAUAUCGUAUAAUCAUAACCGCGGAAACUUGAGGUGACAUUGGUAUAUCUAGGUGACAUUAGGGUUUUGGUUGAUGUGUGUCUUAAGGUGUUAUUUUACUACAAACUCUAGGGCUGUUUGUUACACUUAUAGGAAUAGCCCAAUGGACCGAUCGGAAAGAAUAACUUUGAGGUGGUUUCGUACCCUACAGUAAUCUCUUCGUUUGUUCUCCGCUAUUAGUGACUUUGGAGUGACCCUUUGUUGCAUGUUGAGGGAUUGUUAUAUGAUCUAAUUAUGUUAUCAUUGUUGAGAGAACUUGCACUAGUGAAAGUAUGAAUCCUAGGCCUUGUUUAGAAGCGUUGCAAUACCGUUUUCGCUCACUUUUAUCACUUUCUACCUUGCUGUUUUUAUAAUUUCAGAUUAUAAUAACCUAUAUCUAUCAUCCAUAUUACACUUGUAUCACCAUCUCUUUGCCGAACUAGUGCACCUAUACAAUUUACCAUUGUAUUGGGUGUGUCGGGGACACAAGAGACUCUUUGUUACUUCGUUACAGGGUUGUUUGAGAGAGACCAUCUUCAUCCUACGCCUCCCACGGAUUGAUAAAUCUUAGGUCAUCCACUUGAGGGAAAUUCGCUACUGUCCUACAAAUCUCUGUACUUUGAGGCCCAACAAUGUCUACAAGAAGGUUGUGUAGUAGAUAUCAGCGUCCAUCGGACCGCCGGGUUUCCGUGCGAGUCCGCGUGGGACCCCUUCGUCAAUCCUACGUGGCGGGCAUGUCCGGGUGCCCCCAUAUUUGCUCCAUAUUUGGGUUGGAUAUGGGGGGUGUCGGUCAGUCUGGGCAUUCGAGGCCCAUUUAUGGAGCCCGCCUGGGUCGAAAAAACAUGACCGGGCAGCCCGUCCAGGCAUAUGAGGCGGGUUUGAGGCUCCCGACUGUAGAUGCUCUUAAUUUGGUAUUCCGCAAAAAAAGAUGUUAUUUUGGUGAAGGUUAAUUUGAUGUUAAAUCUUUGGCUCUAGAAAAGAUACACUCUUAAAAAUUUGAAGAAUUUUUUUAUCUACACUCUUUCUGUAUUUAGUUAGUGCCUGCAGUUUAGAGGCAUCGAAUUAGACUAUAAUAGGCUGCAAUUAUUCUUUUUCCAUUUUCUUAUUUUGGCUUUAAUGCGACUUGGUUACAGAAAGCACAUCCUAGAGAUACAAUCAUGAUCAAAAUAACAACAAAGUAGUAUAAAACAGUAGAUCAAAUAAAAAAUAAUUAAUUGUUAAGACCAAAGGCCAAACUGAUAUACACUCGUAAAUUGACACGAACUUACAUUUUUCUCACAUUUUGCAACACACGAGCAAUGUUUAUUACUCCCUCCGUCCCAUAAUAUAAGAGCAUUUUUGAUUCGACACUAAUAAACUCUCUUAUAUUAUAUUAUGGGAUGGAGGGAGUAGUUAUUCAGAUAUAUCGAUGCCACUUUUCUAGAUUGGACCAGGUGCAACGUAUUCACGUCUGUGGCCAUAUCUGCUAGUAUGAUUUCCAUUAUUGUCAACUAUUAGCAAGAUAGAAGUUAAUCCUUUCCUCUCCACGUUGGGAUCAGUCUGCCGUCUCCAAUGGUGCAAAGGGACAUGAUAGAAAUAAUGCCACAAACUUACUUGGCCAUAAGUUUGUCCACCGGCGCGGGUAGAAUGGAAACCUAGUAGGCAAUAGGGAGGCACAGUCAACGGGCACAAAUAAUAUGAAUUACUGUUUACGAAGUUAACCAGAAUCACACACAAUAAUUAUCGGCGAAGUGUUUCGAAUGUGGCAAACAAGAUUUAUUUAUAUAAUCGUGUGCGAUAUGAGCAAACUUGGCAGAUGUGUUCUUUGUUUAGAACUCUGUGUGAGAUAGCACGCACGUUUAUAGGUACUAGUAAGCUUACACGUGAAAAUUCAUGUAUAUAGAAAAAAAUUCAAUCAUAGUAGCCAAAAUUAUUACCAACGAAUUUGUAAUUGAAGUUAAGUUUCAAAAAAGCUAGUAUAAUUAAGAAAAUUACUUUGUAAUGUACCUAAGUAUUUAUGUACAAAUUCAAGGAAUUUAAAUUCACAGCUUCAUUCUCUUUGAGCUGCUGUUGGUCGUUCUUCAAACUUAUGAAUACCAAUGAGCUACGUAUACAUACAUUUACACCUUUUCUCUCUCUAAAUCCCAUUGAUGGAACAACGUAACAGAAAACACAUCGGUCCUUUUGAGUAAAUCAAUGUGUCUAGAAGCAUAUAUAUAUGCCAGUGGGUUAAAAUGCGCAUUACCAUAACCUUAAUAUCAUCAUAAGUAACAUGAGUACAAAAAUAAUAUAAGCUUAAAUGAACUCGUACAUAAUGAAGGAGAUAUGCCAUGUCCAGUUGUCCACAAGGAUCAACAUGCUCAUUGGGGAAAAAAGAAACCCACUCUGCCCUUUACAAAAAAAGUCAUGCCACCUGAGAUACAACACCGUUAAUAUUUCCUCCUCAAGCAUAUGGGUGGCCUGCCUACACAAAUCAUCAAGAUUGGUACUGCUUUGCUAGUAACCUUGUGGCAAUAUCUGGUGAGUAUGGUUUUCUUGAACACCAAGGGGCAUGGAUCUCCAAUACGUUGCAAUAGAUGUGAUCUAUCUUGUGCCUCAUUUGAAUGAAAGGAAUAUAAAAAUUGUCAAUAAAACUAUGUAGGAGUGAAAUUCAGCACAACCAAAAAGUGUUAAUCACUCACACAAUUAAGCAAUACUGAAAACUUUUACUUGGAUUGGAAUGAAAACUUUUACUUGGAUUGGGUUUCUCUAUUAGCUGCAAACUUUAAGAUUACAUAAGAUCCUUACAUUACAAACAAGGGGAGAUUUUCAACAAGCUAUUGACAAUUGAUCUGUAACGUUAGCAAGGUAGAUCUCGAUCCCAAAGCCAUGCCAUUGAGACAUGUAUUGACAUAUACUUGGUGAAGAGAACUCUGCUGUCAUAUGUAAAUUUACCUGUCCUCCCAAUCUAUCAAAUGGCAUCUAAAGUGUGCAAGAAUAUUAUCCCCAGAGCUAUAAUAUUACUGGCAUGCUAAAUAAAAAGGCAGUGCUCUUGCAUGUUGUUGGCCUUGCUGCAUGGAUGGAAGCAUGUCUAUCUUCUAAUUUAUUUGCAAUAUUUAAAAUUUAAAUUUACACAGAUAGGUUAGAACAUCAUUCCUAUAGGACAUGAGGUGUUGCAAAGGCACAAGGAUUCACAACAGUGAUUAUAUGAGGAGUAAAAAAGCAUUUAGGCUACAUCUAGAGCUAUCUAUGUAUGUCCAAAUUUUCAUCCAGCAAUGGUGAGUACAAAGAUACACAUAAUAUGAAUCAAUUGUACUCCCUCCGUCCCAUAAUAUAAGAUCGUAUUACAUCCAAUUUUUGAGCAAAAUGAGUGCAAUAAGAUAUUAUAUUAUGGGACGGAGGGAGUACUUCCAUUUGGACGCUGAAGAUAACUGCCAAAUACUUAAAAAUAAAUUUGGAAUAGGGGGAACCCGUUCAGUCAAGUCCAGAAUUCAGCAAGAACUGCACAAUGUUCACAAAUGUACUGGAUCACACUUCACUGAAGCCUGCUCCUUGACUGAUUUAUGUGCACAUAGCCACGUAGUGAAAUGCAUCUGGAAGCAGCAGAAAUGUUAAACAAAAUAGACGAAGGAGCAGAAGCCCCGAUCUUUUCCCAGAAAUAGAAUGAGAGUAUGUAGAUUCAGAAUUUUAGAUUAAGGAACAUUGACCAGAGGAAGGAUCAGCAGUACAGAACCAAAGUAAUGAAUAACUUAUGGUAAAUUUGGAAGGGUCAUUUGAAACCGAAGUAUUGCACCUGAUCUACUUCUGACGAAUACCACAAAAUCAUGAAAGCUCCUCAACAGCACCGUAAACCAACUGAUAGAGAAGCAAAGGAGAUGACCAAUCGUUCAGGAGGCAGGUAGCAAUGAUGGCUCAGAUGGAUUUUGCAUUUUGCAUUGAAGGGGAUGAAUUUGCUCAUCACCAUAGUUAAAGGUAGUUUCAGAUGAUCAUGAUUUCUGUAUUCAUUAACAUGGCAUACAGAAAUUAGCAAAAUCAAUGAAAAUGGAAGAAAUUAGCAAAAUCAAUGUUAUUGGUGGACAGAGAUUUUUCUUUAAGAUGUAGAUCUCAAAGUAAACAAAGUAAAUAAUCAUGUCCAACAAACGAUAGACAGGCUACUCAUUACAUGAACCAGGUGUAGAGAGCUACUUGUAGAAACAAGUAAUAAUGACAAAGUGCAACCAAUUCUUCUAUCUUUAUGUAACUAUGCGUCAAUAGGCUCAAUAUACCUCACUUGUAGCUGAAGUGAAGAUCGAUUCUGGAUCAAUGCAAGCUUCCGGGUAUCUCCACAGUAGCAAUAUCAUAAGCUUCUGGGUUGUUGCACUUGCUCCCUUGAUAUAGUUGAAGCAAGAAAAAAUAUUCAGUAAACUGAAAUGAAAAACUUUUAUACGUAGAGAACCAUCAUCAUCGUCAAUAGGUCAGAAAGAGAAGCGCCCUCACCGCCCAACCACUUUGUGGUCGCUGCAGCGAACGAAGUGAGUAAUAUGGUCGUGCUGUACCUCAGGCAGUAGGGGGACAGUGUUGAGGGAGUGGAGGUGCUCAGGUGGUCUCCUUGCAUCAUUAUCUUCCAUCUAAAAUUGAUGCAGUUGGGCUCAAAUAGAUCGGCGCGGUGUCACGCUCGGCAGCAAUACCUCUGUAUAUCAGCAACCUCGACGGUGGUACAGAAAGAAAAGAAGCAGAAGCAUCAAUUUUUUUUGUGGAAGGAUCAUAUACUGGGAAAUCCCGUUAACAUGAGAAAAUACUUGUGUAUUAGUACAACAUGAUAGUAUUGUAAGUUUGUAACUCCUUGUAUAAUGAAUAUUUCAGAGAUUUUUCUUUAAGAUGUAGAUCUCAAAAGUAAACAAAGUAAAUAAUCAUGUCCAACAAACCAUAGAUAGACUACUCGUUAUAGGAACCAGAUGUAGAGAGCUACUUGUAGAAACAAGUAAUAAUGACAAAGUGCAACCAAUUCUUCUAUCUUUAUGUAACUAUGCAUCAAUAGGCUCAAUAUACCUCACUUGUAGCUGAAGUGAAGAUCGAUUCUGGAUAUGCAAGCUUCCGGGUAUCUCCACAGUAACAAUAUCAUAAGCUUCUGGGUUGUUUCACUUGCUCCCUUGAUAUAGUUCAAGCAAGAAAAAUAUUCAGUAAACUGAAAUGAAAACAUUUUUAAAAGUAGAGAGGCUUGGUGCCAAGCAUUUCAAAUAAAACUAACAUCUCUAGGACCGUCUUCUCAAAAAAUAGAAAUGGAAGACCAGGUAAAUUUUGCAACAGUCUCUACUUUUAUGAAGAGUCAACUGACUAUCAUAAUUUUUGGAAGGGCUAUGACUAUCACACUCAUGAACAAAAAGAUACAAUACAUCAUUGGGAAAAUGGCAUACUAAGUGCAUAUUGCGAGAAAAGAUAUAUAUAGAGUGGCUAAACUCUCCCACACUCACCUUAUCUUACAACCUGAAGGCACAUAUCAGCAUACCCAAGCUUCUUUUUAGACUUAUUCCAUUCAUAGUUGGUAGCUGCUUACCCAUUGUUCUAGAAAAUUCACUGAUAACAGGAACAACAAUGAUUACAUUGCAUCAAAGAAACAAAAAAAAAAUGCAGCCAAGUAAUUCUGGCAUGGUACUACCUCACUAUUCAACAUGCUUUUGUAUCAAUCUACACUUGUGCCCCGCCCCACUAAAAAUCCUUUGUAAACCACCACUUAAAUCUAGGGUUGGGAUAAAGAUGAAAUGUCGAAUAUAAUCCCCCAACAGCAACAUACACAUGUGAAUUCUAUCUGCAAAAUUGAGUUGACUGGUGAUGUAAUCGGAUUUUUGGAUGAGUCAAGUUUCUUAAACAUGUUUAUGGUACAACACUUUUGACAAAUGUAUCCAUCUACCAUUACCAAACUUAAGACCUCAAAACAAGGUUUUGCUAAGAGAAACAAGAUCUGAAUUUCGUAAUAUGAGAAUAGAAAUUUGCAAGAGAAAGAAGCCGAAAACUUACAAAUAGAAGGGGAAGGGCCGGUAGCUGGAGGAGCAGUACGACGGAGAGUCGGAGCAGCUGAGGAGCCGUGCUCAUGGUGGUAUUCCGUGCAGCGGCGACCACGGCGGUUGGUGAGCAGCAUGGGCAUCCAUGCAUGAUGUGCUCCACUGCUCCUCCCCACGGCGUAGUGCCCAAUUGGUCAUUAGAGAUUAUAUACACAGGAAGGUGAAAAAGGAGAGAUGUUGAAGGAAAGGAAUAGUCACGGGAUUUGAGGAGAUGAUUAGGAAAUUGUUUUGGAAGACUAUUAGGAAGCUUACAAUGACGUCUGAAGCUUCCUUUUGCUUUUGCUAUUUGGGCCAGCCAAAUCUCACGCAAAACUGAUAAGAACCGGGCAUGUGUUAGUUAAUAUCCAGAACCUGUUUAUUUGGUGGUCGGGUGCCGCGGCAUAGGGUGCCGCGGCUCGGCGGCUCCCGCGGCGUAGGGGUGCGGCGGCUCGGCGGCUCCCGCGGCGACGGCAGGGCAGCGAACGGCGCGGGGAGGAUGGGCNNNNNNNNNNNNNNNNNNNNNNNNNNNNNNNNNNNNNNNNNNNNNNNNNNNNNNNNNNNNNNNNNNNNNNNNNNNNNNNNNNNNNNNNNNNNNNNNNNNNNNNNNNNNNNNNNNNNNNNNNNNNNNNNNNNNNNNNNNNNNNNNNNNNNNNNNNNNNNNNNNNNNNNNNNNNNNNNNNNNNNNNNNNNNNNNNNNNNNNNNNNNNNNNNNNNNNNNNNNNNNNNNNNNNNNNNNNNNNNNNNNNNNNNNNNNNNNNNNNNNNNNNNNNNNNNNNNNNNNNNNNNNNNNNNNNNNNNNNNNNNNNNNNNNNNNNNNNNNNNNNNNNNNNNNNNNNNNNNNNNNNNNNNNNNNNNNNNNNNNNNNNNNNNNNNNNNNNNNNNNNNNNNNNNNNNNNNNNNNNNNNNNNNNNNNNNNNNNNNNNNNNNUGAUUCCCAGCCGCAACCGCACGACAUGGGCAAACUUUUUUUAAAA